rnacentral:lncRNA from 1 species
AAUAAUGGGUGUGAGAACUACUACAAAAUAGAGUAGUCCUUAAUGGGUACCGUCACCGACUCCAACGGCCUACCCACUAAGUCUACAAGACUAACGAUAAAACUGGUAGGAAAAAGAUCAAUAAAAUAAGCUAAAAGAAACUCUACAGCUAAAAUGUAACUACACUAUCACUACUCAUGUCAUGCUUUCUGUAGAUAUAUGCAUCACUGGCUACGAACAGUCACAACUGACCCAAUCCCAAGGGACCGCCAACUGGCCAGUCCCGCCUGUGCCCAAGCUACACCGCACACCACCCACGGGAAUGGCCGGUCCAAGAAAAAUGAUGCAACAUCAACGCAAGAAAGUCAGACUCCGGAGCGGCACUCGCGGGGGCGCGACCCCUAUCGAGUAUAGAAGCGUGUCUCUGUCGAGCUCAAUCAGGCUGUAGUCAAAACAAAUGGGUCAAACUGGUCUAACAAUAAUGUCCUCGACACAAUAUGCAGUAAGAAGUAAAGAUCUGGGUCCACCGUCAAUCCCGAUGGCACUCAACUAUACGGAACAGCCUAAACUCUGCUGUAAAAACUCACUUGGCAUCUCAGCACGAGCGUAAUCUCAACCUAUACUAAGCUAAGUAUCCAUGACGCGCUAACGGUGGUGAUACAAAGAUAAAAAUAGCUCCUGAAGCUUUUCGAAAAGUGACAUGUGUAGGUUUAACGAGUUUUCUCCUAAGUCAAAUUAUAACGGAGCUCGACUUUUUGAAUUCAAAAUGACAAAAUAUAAACGGUUAAUUUCGUAAGUACCCUUCCAACCACCCCUAAUCACAAAUAUAUAUAUUCCAAAAGUUGUCAAUAUAUAUCAAAAAAAUUUAGUAAAACUAAUGAAACUAUCCACAUUACUCGUAUCCCACUUAAAUUACUUGUUCUACCCCUCUCGCCCUUACAACUGUUAUAAUACAUAUUCUGUGAUCAAGAUAAUAUAUGCAUUUAUUAUAAGUAAUUUUCUAGUUUAAUUUAAUUAUCUUAAUAUGUCUUUAUUUUGACUAAUUUAAGGUUUGUUAUUAGUUGGCAGCUUGUUAUUGGUCAUGACAACAUUAAUCUGUCUCUUUGGGAUUCAAUUAACUAUGUUGUAUCCGACUCUAAUCUAUACCUAUACAUUAUUCCCCCAAAAAAAAGCCACGAGGCGGAAUUUCCUUCCUUUAGCGAAACCAACUUUUCGGCUUCCCUUCACCUAUAACAUUUAAUUAAUAGUCCACUAAGCUUAACCUAACCCUUCGCCUUUCCUAUACACAUAACGCCGGCUUCCCUCCGCCUAUAAUAUCUAAUUCUUCCCUCCACCUAUAACAUCUAAUUAAUAGCCCACUCAUCUUAAUCCAACCCUUCGUCUUUCCUACAAACAUAACGUUUAAUUAAUAGUCCACUCACCUUAAUCCAACCCUUCACCUUUCCUACAAACAUAACGUCUAAUUAAUGGUUCACCUACUUUAAUCCUAAUCUAAACAGUAAAUUGUAGAAACCUACGAAAAGCCCAAUUCUCUUCUUCUCUAUUAUCUUUUCCUCCUCCAUGAGCUCCGAGGCUAAGAUCAAGCACGUUAUGUAGAUGGAGUAUAAAUUUGCACGCUGCAUCGUCGAGCUUAGCGUUACCAUCUUCAUCAAAUCGAGCUUUCCUUCAAAUUUCAGGAGUUAUUUUAAAAGAUUAAUGUAUUCUUUAUGUUGUAUCGUUGAAAUUUCUUAGAUAGUUUUAUUCAGUUUUUUAAAGUUUUUUUUAUUUGCAUGGUAUUCAAACUAAUGUGUUUGUUAUGUUGAAGAUUUAUUAUUUUUUCUUUUUCUAUCCUUUGUUUUUUAUAUUUUUUUUUCUCGAAAGUAAAGUUCUGUAUUAUAUUUACUGUAUUUGGUUGUGUUAGGUUGUAUAUCUUUUUAUCUCUUAAAAAUUUAUUAUAUAACUUUUCAUAUGUUUUUUUUUUUCUAUUUUCAUUACUCUUUUUAUUAACUGAUAUAAGCUGUUUAUAAAAUUAGAUUGAUAUAUGAUCUAAAAAGGUUUUUAUUUUUUUGAAGGGAUAAGUAUCUUAGCUUAUAUAGAAAAUGAAGAAAUAAAAAUAUAACUUAUACAAAAAUGUUUAACUCUUUGAUUGUUUUGAUUUAUAAAAUAUUAAUUUUUAUUAGAUUUUUUAUCUAAAUCUCUCCUAAAUAGUAUUUCAUUUUUCGUCUCAUUAAGUUAAUAUACUUAUUAUUUUUUUAUGAACAUUUUGUUACUAAUCAAUUUUAGCAAAUUAAUAUACUUUUACAAGAAGCCAAUAUGCUUGGACUAUUUUAAUUUUUAAAAUAAUAAUAAAUUUUUAAUAUAUUAGUUAGAUACUAAAUUUAUUUUAAUAGUAUCUAUCGUUCGCAAAUCACGGGUUACUUCACUAGUUAAUAACUACUUCUCAGCUUCUAUCUCCUCGCUCUUCCUCUGCUCGAAGGAUUGCCCUAGCCUUCUCCGACUUCUUCUCUGCCAGCCCGCCAGCCUGCCUGAGCUCCUUCGGAACACCUCCCGUCGGACCCUUGUCGCCUAGCUUCCUCCUCUCCGCCUGCUGCUGCCAUUUAUUCUUCUCUUAGCUAGUAAAAUAACUACCUUCACUACUUCCCUUUUAACUACUCUACUCCUUUAUUCUUCAGGUUGUUACAGAGAAGGAAUUUUCACUUUUGCUGGUGGUAGACCCACCGGCCACAGAAUGCUGAUGGCAAAAGCGAACAGGGAAGAAGUUCGUUCCUUGCUGGCUAAAGGCCAUUCGACCUUUUUAAUUAUUCUGCAAUUCCCAUUCUAUUUCUUUUCACUCUUCAACCUUUUCUCUCUCUCUCUCUCUCUCAAUCCCUAAAACAUCUACUACAAGAGCUUCUUUGGUUGCAGAAAGACGCCGUCCAGAUCAGUUCACUGUAAGCUCUCAUCAAUUGAUAUAUAUGUCGCACUAUAUUAAAGAUCAAAAUACUUCUAGUUGUGUACGACACAUAUAAAUUAACUUCUAUUUUGUGAAUGACGUAUGUUGUAUAUCUAAUUAUUUCAGGUUCUUUCUCAAAAAAAAAAAAAAAAAAAAAAAUUUCAGGUUCUUGUCCGGAAUAUACCACCUGAUCCAGAUUAGUCCACCAGCGAGCUUGUUGAGCAUUUUUUCCUUGAAAAUCAUCCUGAUCACUAUCUCACUCAUCAGGUAGUUUGUUGCGAAAGGUUUGAUGAAUUUGUUGUAGGCAUAGAUGGAAAUUUAAUACGGUCAGUUUCAUAGUUCAGUAAAUUAGUUGUACCGAUGGGAAGUGAUGUAUCCUGCAAUUUUACAAGAAUGUCCAAAUUUUUUCUUUUGUUUUCAAUCAGAAUUCUGGUAUUUACCUUUUGUUUUCCAUUAGUUACUGGAAAGCUGGUAAAAGAGGGUACAUGUAGGCUACAAGAUUAAGAACAUCUGUGUUCUUUGUGCGGUGUGCUUUGUAGGUUGUUUAUAAAGCCAACAAACUUGCGAAACUGGUCAAAAAGAAGAAACAGAUGCAGAACUGGCUUGACUAUUAUCAACUGAAGUAUAAUAGAAAUCCGUCGAAGAGGCCAACUUGCAAGGUUUGCUCUAUUCUUCUUAAUGUCUUUGUUUUCAUUUCCAUUGUGAUGUUUCAAAUGAACGUAAUGUGUUAUUUUGGAAGAUUAAUAUUCUUCUUCUUUGCUUCUUUCAAACUGGUUUUCUAGGAUUAUGGGGCUCCACUGUGGAUGCAAUUGAAUUCUACAUAUCUGAAAUUUAAAAGCUAUCAAAAGAAGUAAGUGGUGCUCGUCUUACUUCGGUUCAACAUGUACUAUGUUCAAUAGUUAUCUUGCUCCUCCGCAAUUUGCAUUAGCGAAUUGCUACGCAAGUUGAUCAAAUUGAGUUAAGUUUUUGAUUAAUAAGGUUUGAGAUGAACUGGUCAUUCAUAGCUCGUAAGUUAAAUUUGGACUGCUAUAGGGCGAACGAGAUUUCAAACUCUUAAUUUAGCUUCUACUUCAACAGUAGUUUGAGUGUUUAUUGGUCAUGACCAAUUAUGUCUGCAACUUGAUUGCCUAAUUGCAGCUGUUGUCAUAAAUACGAGGAACUAGAACAUAUUUAUUGUGUUUCAUCUUAAAGUCUUAUACGAUGUCAACUUUCAGAUUGUACUUUAAAAGCUAAUAAUACAGGAGCAUAGAGUGGACCUUUUCUGUUCAAAUAGCCUUUUUUAAGAAAUCAGUUUUUUCCUUGAAAUUAUAUCAUAUAGGAAAGGCUCAGUGAGACUGCUUUAAGGUCGCAUGUAAUAUGUGUGUAACAUAGGCAGUACCAGAGGUUGUUUGUGCUUUUCGACCUAUGCAUCAUUUAGAUUUAGUUUAACAAGGUUUUUGGUGUUGAUUAAAUUUAAACUUUCAAACUAUCUCUAUUUAUCUGUUUGCCAUUGUAAAUAAUUAAAGUCUACUUGGACGAGUGCUUAAUGUUUUGCUGAUACAAUCUUACUUUUCGCUACUUUCUCUACUCUAAACAUAUAAUAAUUUUAUCUGUACUUCCAUUUUCAUGCAAAAUUUGUUGCUGUUUCUACGAUAAUUCUAUAUUUAGGAGGAGACAGAGCGUGAGAAUGUCAAAAAGGAUCCGAAGUCUGUUGUGCCAGCAGCAUUUGUUUCAUUCCGAACACGGUGGGGUGCAGCAGUUUGUGCUCAGACUCAGCAAACUCGAAAUCCUACACAAUGGUUGACUGAUUGGGCCCCAGAGCCUCGUGAUGUCUAUUGGCAGAAUCUUGCUAUUCCCUUUGUUUACCUCACAAUCAGAAGGUUGGUUGUUACAGUAGCACUCUUCUUUUUGACCUUCUUCUAUGUCAUCCCAAUAGCAUUUGUACAGUCUCUUGCUAAUAUCGAGGGAAUCGAGAAAGCUGCUCCGUUCCUAAAGAUAAUUAUUGAAAAGUGAGUUUAUUGCACUGCUUUAACUUUCUGAACUUAUGUUCAUGUCUCUUUUCCUCUUCUCUUGCCGUGUUUGCAAUUAUGGAUGAUAUAUUCUUUCGUCAAUUAUUCUGUUUUUUAAGAUAUUUUAACUAACAAUUUGAUGCCAAACAUGUGACAUAAAUUACACUAGUAAUGACAUUUAUGAAAUCCCUGAAGAAUAUUCAGAUGUCAAACAGCAAUAUUUGCAGUUGUUGCAACCCGAUCCUUUCUCUUUCUUGACAUAAUAGGAGAAAUUAUGGACUGCAUAUUCAUAUGCUAAAAAUAAUAAAAGGGAUAAAAGGAGGUCUAGAAUUUUAGUUAAUACUAAAAAGACUCGUAGAUAGCAUUAUCCAUGUACUUUGCAUUAAAUGCUGAUUUUGUGGAAUUUUUUUUUGGAACAUUCUUUUUUUUUUUUAAUCUUUGAUUAUAUGAAGUUUUUUCUUGCAAACCCUGAAAAUGACUACUAGUUCUAUAUUUUCUUAUGCAGGCGUGUUAUUAAAUCAUUUAUCCAGGGAUUUCUACCUGGUAUUGCUCUGAAGAUAUUCCUCAUACUGCUGCCAACCAUAUUAAUGUUCAUGUCCAAGUUUGAGGGAUAUACAUCCUUGUCUUCUCUUGAGCGGAAGUCUGCUGGAAAAUACUAUAUCUUCUUGUUUGUUAAUGUAUUUCUUUGCAGCAUCAUCACUGGGACUGCAUUAGGGCAACUAGAUAUAUUUAUUCACCAACCACCUAAUCAGUAUGUGUUUUUCCCCCUUUCCUGUCUGCUUGAUAAUAAAAGUAUCCAAAAAAAAUAGUUAAUCUUUUUGUUUCAGUUGUCUGGUUAUGUAUUCUUUUCAUCUAUCUAAAUUUAUUGUGAUCUAUUCUCUCAAUUUUUUGGGCUAUCGUGCAUUAGUUUUUACUUCAUAUAUUAGAAUAUUUUGUGCUUGUAUUUACUUAUCUAUUUGUCCACAUAUGCACGAAUAAGACACUUAUAAAUGCAUAACUUGCUAUGACCAUGCAAAUAGUAUUCUCUUCCAAGGAAAUAACAUACGUUGUCCAUUUAAUUCGAUUCCCAUUGGACAAGAUAUAGUAAGUCUCAAACUUCUAACAUUAGUAUGGCUUUCAAGUUUAAAAUCUUAGUGACCAUGUCAAUCAAUAGUACCAAUUGUCAGCAUGGCUUGUUUCGCAGCAUGUUCUGGGUCAAUACUCCAAAAUGGGGUGUAACCGAGCAACUAGAACCUUCUCAAAAUUAAGGACUAUCUGCCAAUAUCGAUAGGCCAUGUGAAACUAAUUUUGCAUUAUGCUAUUUCUGUAGAAUUUUUGCAAUGAUAUUUAAUCUUGCACUUCUUUAUUGCAAAAGGUCAGUUGUCUUCUUUCCAUUUUCUCGAGGAGGCAGUUGAAAUUGUUGUUUAUUCAUAGAAGCCAAUGUUUUUAAUUUGUUGUUUGUAAUUUGUAGUCUUUGAGCGUAAUAAUACGUUAGAAGCUAAAGGAACUUACAAUUAAAGUGUCUUUUGAUUAAUAACUUACUAUCUAUUCAUAAUUGAAUCUUACCAUGCUAUCACAAUCAGUUAAAUGAAAAUUUUGUGCUAUUAUUCAUUUGACACAUUAAAAGAUGUUAAGUAAAAAUUUAAAUUUCUUGUAUGUUUGGUUCUCUUUGUUAGGAUACCGAAGACAAUAGGUGCAUCAAUCCUGAUGAAAGCAACGUUCUUCAUUACUUUUAGGGAUAAUUGCCUAUAUACCCCUCGUAUGUUUGAAAAUAUUCGAUUUACCCCUACUUUUUUUUUCUUUCUAAAAUUUUCCUCAUAUGUUCCACCGUUAUUGCAAAAUACCUCUGCAGUUAUCUUCUGUUAAGUUAACCUGGGUUAAAUGUGAGUUAAAUAUCUACCACAGUUUAAAAAAAAUAAAAUGCCAAUUUUACCCUCAACUUAAGGGCAAAUAAGAAAGGUUGGUGACGGUAGAGGGGUAUAUUGUAAAAAAUCAAAAGUCAAAACACUUUUUGUGCCCUGACUUUAAGGGCAAAUAAGAAAAACAGUAAUGGUGGAAGGGUAUAUUUGAAAGGGCAAAAUAGUAAUUUUACAGAGAUAACAUAGUUACUUAACAGAUUUUAACUCUAAGGAUAUAUUAGAAAUAGGUUGGAACGUUAGAGGGUUAUUUUCAAUAUUAGCCUUCUAAGAGGGGUAAAUCGAAAAGUCGGGAACUUUUCGGGGGUAUAUAAGCAAUUGCCCCUUACUUUUAUAAUGGUUGAUGGAUGGGCCGGAAUAGCCGGAGAAGUUUUGAGAUUGAAGCCGUUGAUAAUCUUCCACUUGAAGAAUUUCUUCUUGGUGAAGACUGAAAAGGAUAGGGAAGAGGCUAUGGAUCCGGGAAGUAUUGGGUUCGACUCAUCUGAGCCACAAAUACAGCUGUACUUCUUGCUUGGUCUUGCCUAUGCCGUGGUCACGCCAUUCCUUCUACCUUUCAUCAUAAUUUUCUUCGGCCUUGCUUAUGUUGUUUUUCGUCAUCAGGUAUGCAACUCUCAUGUACUUCCACUUUGUAUAGGGUUGCUCUACGAAAUAGAAAUUUCACUUAUUAGGUCUCGGUUGGUACUGCUUCCAUUUUCUAAUUCUUGUAAACUCAAAUUCUAUGCGAUGGAUUGCGCCGGUAAAUGCACUUCUCCAUCUCUUCUAUUGUUAGUUUGCUUGCCAUGCACCGCUUACUCUUAGCGUAAACUGUGUUACAGAUUAUAAAUGUCUACAAUCAAGAAUAUGAGAGCGCCGCGGCAUUUUGGCCAAGCGUCCAUGGGCGCAUAAUCACAGCAUUGAUCAUAUCGCAGCUGCUCCUACUUGGGUUGUUAAGCACGAAGAAUGCUGCUCAGUCGACUCCUGUGCUCCUCGCCCUUCCGAUAUUAACUAUAUGGUUUCAUCUCUACUGCAAGAAUCGUUAUGAACCUGCUUUCGUGAAAUAUCCACUCCAGGUAAAUUUUUCUGGUGUUCCUGAACAUAAAUUUUUGCAUUAGACUCUAGUGUCAUUUGUUCUCUUUCAGUACUUGUUACUUUGCUUGAUUUACUUAAACUAGAACCUGUAUGUGACAAAUGGGAAAACCAUUAGAGUAGGAGUCGUAUAUUUGCAUGUUAGAUAUGUCAAGUAGCUUUGUGUGGAUCGUUGGCGCUAACCAUUGAUUGCAAAAACUCGAGCUGUUAUAAAAGGGACAAUCAAUUCACUUGAAGCAUAAGCGUCUUUAAGCCAACAAUGCCCCGCACCUGUACAAAUUUGCAGUAUGCGGGAAUCAAACUCGCAACAUUUUCUGAUACCACUUGUGGAUCGUUGAUGCUAACCAUUAAUUCCAAAAGCUUGGGUUGUUAGAACGGGGCAACCAAUUCACUUGAAGUGUGCAGACAUAGCAUUCACGGGUCUUUAUUGUGACUCGGCCCAAUCCGGCCUCCCGCCACUUCGAAUAUGAUUUGGCCCAACCCGGUCUCUGCCACGAGGCAGGAUGCUAAACUUUAAGUAACCGGAACAUUCAUGUUAUUCCUGUUGCAUUAUAAAAUUACUUGAUUCUUUAUAUUUUUAAAAUGGAAUUAAUACAAUUUAGACCCUCUUUGCGAACCAAAGAAGACAAAACUCAUAUUGAGUGUUAUUUAGAAGUAUGUAAAUACAUUUUUAUUGUUCUCAUUCUGAUAAUUUCUUCAUUCUAAUCUCCUUUUACAGGAAGCAAUGAUGAAGGACACCUUGGAGCGCGCGAGGGAGCCAAACCUAGACCUCAAAGCCUACUUAUCGAACGCUUAUAUUCACCCCGUGUUCAAAGGUGCCGAAGAGGAUGCAAUAGAAGCAUGUGUAUAUUUCUAUGUAGAUUAAGAGGUGAGAAACGAAUGGUCUUUUUUUUUUUCUUUGGUAACUUUACAUAUGCAGUAAGAAUGAGUCUUUUGAUGUGUUAUGGAACUUAUUUUUGAAAUGUUUUCACAGGAUGAGAGAGAGAGAGAGAGAGAGAGAGAGAGAGAGAGAGAAUGCCAAAAUGUUGAACAGGUUCAAAUGAUGAACUUGUUUUCAAUUCUCUGGAGUCACUGCUCUUAAAAAAAAAAAAAAAAAAAAAGAAAUUCAGAAAAAAUGAAUGUAGACCCCUCAACUUUUAAGCCAUUUUAAAAUACCUCCUCUAAAGUUAUUUUAUUUAUUUUUUUCAUUGGUACCGCCUCAACUUUCAAUUUGUUUGAUUUAAAUUGUUCCCGUUAAUUGAAAUGGAGAUUUUGUUAAAAUAAACUGCUCUAUCAGCUUUGAAUUUGACAGAAUCAUCAUUAAUUCAACAAAAUAUCAGUUUAAUUUACUUAAACAUAAUUUAAAAUAAAUAAAUAAAAGAUAAAUUUUAAGGGUCCUAUUUCAAAAUGCCCUGUAGCAUAGGGACCGAGUAUAUAUACAUUUUUACCAAUAACUUUUUGCACCCACCUAUGAGCUUCUAGAGCUAAUUAACAUUUGAAGUGUACCUCCUUAACAAAAUGAGUUAAAUAUAGAAUUAUAAUGCAUCUGCAACUUGUUAUUUUUUUUUUCUCAGUUCUCUCUUGAAGAAUAAAAAGAUGUUGAGCUUUUGCUUGUGGUAAUUGAUGCAGAUUAUAUAAUUGGAGGUUAAAAUAAAGGUAUUGCAGUGCCGAAAAUUUAUGAAAUUGGAUUUCUACAGCGUUCAAAUAUUCAAAAUCAUAUUUACUUGUAUGGAUCGUCAAAUUGAAUGUGUAAGUAUCAAAAAAAUAAGACUCUUGCAAAAUAUGUAUAAUUGUAAACCUCAAUUAUGCACCCUAUUGUUUUUAAAAUAUUAAUAUUCGAUUUUCUCUUCAUCAUAAAUGUUGGUUUAAAUGGGCCCGAAACUUGACGAAUGCUUUUGUAAUUAAAAUACACAUAAAAAUAUCGUUAACAAAGAGUUUAGCUACACUGUCAAAAUCUCAGCCCUUACAAAAACCCAUUAAACUACAUGAUGCAUGUAGUGGAAAAAUCCUAAACAUAGCAGCCCACGACACACAAAUCUUGGAAUAGCAUCAUAGAUAAAAGGAUUAGUAGUAGCUGAUUAUAUUAGAAACAUUUCUACAUAUAGUGCUGAAGAAAUGUAUAAAUAUUUAGAAACAUACUUAUAUAGGAGAAUCAACUAAAGCCAUGUGGGAAUAAUUUAAAACUCAAUGUGAAGAAGAAUUUAAUCAUAUGAUUGCUUUAGGAUGUAAUCCAUGUAACUUCACUAAUAAAGUACAUGCCUUAAUAACAGGACAAGACCCAAAUUCAGGACAAAUAGGAUUACAAAAUAAUGCCAUAAUAAAUUUAGAACAAUUAAGUAUUUACAAUUGGGUACAUAUUAAAAUAUUUUUAAGUGAUUAUUACUAUUAUUCUAGUAUUAGUGGAAAUACAUUUAAUCCAGAUAUACGUAGAAAAUUAUUUCUUAAAUUACCAGGAGUUUUAGGAAGAGAAAUUCAGAACUAAUGGGAAAAUAUGGACGUACAUAAACUUAAUCCUAAUACUUUAUGGUCUAUAGGUCAAAGAAUUCAAUUUAUAAUGACCAUAUAUAUUACAAGAAAAAUGUGCAAAUAUCCAAAUACAGAAACAACUAAAUGAGUAUUCUUUUUGCAAAGACAUAAUUUAUACUCCACAACAAUAUGAUAAACUACCCUCUCAGUCAUCCCAAUGAUACUAUCCUAAACAACAACAUAAAUUCAAGAAAAUCCAUGUGAGGCUACUAUGCUUCUGGAAGCACGGAGCCUUCCGCGCGUGCUUCCAGAUCGUUUUCGAUGUUGCGACUUUCGUAUCGUCGAUCGGCUCCGUUAAACUUGAUUUAGAGUAUUUGAAGUAUCUAGAAAAUAAAUUUUAUGAUUUUUCGAUAUCAUUUGCCUAGUGAUCGAAGGGGCUCAAAAUCAACUAAUUUUAAUGACUAUAGUGAACUAUUUGCAAGUUUAACGGUGUAGAAAUAUACAAAUCACAUAAAAUUUUGAUAGAAAAUUUUUUAUACUAUAUAAAAUAAGAUCAAUAUCUUUGAUCUAAAAUUUUAAUGUCAUAUUAUCACGUUUUGUAAGAUUUUUAUUUUCAGCCGUUGUUUUUGAGCCCCUUCAUUCACUAGGCAAAUAAUAUCGAAAGAUCGCAUAAUUUAUUUUCUAAGUACUUCAAAUACUCUAGAUCAAGUUUAACCGAGCCGAUCAACGAUUUGAAAGUCGCAACAUAAAAAAUGACCUCGAAGCACGGACGGCUCCGUGCUAAAAUCUUAUUUAAACAAAGAUAAACAUGUUCACAAAUUUAGGGGGGAUAAGACAUAUAAGAAUAAACUCCAUUGCUUUACUUGUGGAAGUACAUAACAUUUUGUGAACACAUGUCCAAAAAGAAUGAAUAAAAGAGAUAGAAAUGCAUUAGUAGUAGAAGAAACCCAAGAAAAUCUAUUAGCAGUGGAUGAGUAUAUAUCUGAUACAGAAUCCAUAUAUUCUAUUAUAAUUAAGUAUAGAUACUUAUAAUGAUGAAAAUUCUUCAGACGAAGAAGAACAAAAUGAUUUUAUAAUUGAGAUAGCUGAAAAUCAGAAUUUAAUACAAUUUGAUGCAUUGCAACAUUUAAAUUUUAUCCAUCUAACAUUAGUGAACAUUGUGAGACCCCGAAUAGUCUUAUAUAUAAGAUAUAAUAUGGUUAAAAUUCUUAACCCGGCUUAAACAUUUUAGAUGGUAGCGUGGCCCAAGAGGAUAAGAGAGUUAAGCGUGCUAGGACGGGAGUAGUCCUAGAAUAGGUGAUUCUAUAAAAAAUUGGAACGUCACAGUUGGUAUCAGAGCAAAUUACCAGCCGAAAGUGUGAAAUCAGUAUCGGUUGAGCCUGGGAGGCUUAAAGGGGGGGAUUGUGUGACCCCGAAUAGUCUUAUAUAUAAUAUAUAAUAAGGCUAGAACUCUUAACCCGGUUUAAGCAUUUUGGAUGGCAGUGUGGCCCAAGAGGAUAAGAAAGUUAAGCGUGCUAAGACGGGAGUAGUCCUCACAUGGGCGACCCCCUGGGAAGUCGGGGCGUCACAGUUAUAAACUGUAGUCAUAAUAAAAAAGAUGAAAAAAUAAGUUCUACAAGACGAUGAGUAAAAAUAUAAUUUUUUCCCAGAUCAAUUGAGCAGAGGAAUUCUAGGAUAUGGUUUUACUAAUUACAAUCUUCAAAGUGUUUCAGAACAAAAUAUAAUCAAGCAAAAUAAUACAACAAUCCAAUUAAUAUUAGAUCUCCGUAAAAAAUUAGGUUCAUACGGAGUCUUAAUUAUACAACAAGCAUCUAUAAUUAAAAACUACUUAACGAUGGAGCUGAUAGAAGAGUGUAGAUGUUUUCGGCGAUGCCUGGGGUGGUCUUGUGAUUUUUUCUUGAGCUGUAGUAAAGUUUUCCAUGAUUGGAAGGAACUGUAUGCUUUUGAUGAUUGGUCCUUUUGCUACUGUUUGCUUUUGAUGACUUGUGUCGCCUUUGCCUUUAAUAAUUGAAGAUGCUCGAUCGGGUCACACGGGGUGGUUUUAGUUAUCCCCUAAUUUUUGCCUGUAAGUUAUUUCUUGUGGCGGGGGUGAGUAAUUAUGUAUCUUUUAUAGUUCUAUAGUUGCUAUCAGUUUUUUAGAUUUUGGAUAAACUCUUUUCAUUAUUUUUAAUCAUUAGAUUAAAUACUAUAACCCAAUGGAGACCACUCAACCCUAGGGGGACCACUCAACUCUAACCGACUAAUAUCAUCCUGAUCCUACAAUUUUUAAUCCAAGGGUUAAAAACUUGAUAGCAAAAAGAGUGUUUUACUAUUAAUAGUAUUUCAGCCUAAUUCUAUAUAUAUAUAUAUAUAUAUAUAUAUAUAUAUAUAUAUAUAUAUAUAUAUAUAUAUGUAUAUAAAAUAUNAAAUAUACACAUCACUUUGAAAUAUAUAAAUAGCAUUGUUUUUUUUUAUAUAUAUAUAUAUAUAUAUAUAUAUAUAUAUAUAUAUAUAGUUGAGCUAGAAUACUAUCAAUAGCAAACCGGCAUUUUUGCCACCCAUUUGUUCUCGAUGAUGGAGCCUCCAAAUCGACAAUCAGCAUCGUUGAACAUGAUCUAUACCACUUGAAGUGUUUAUAAAUCAAAUUUCAAAUUUUUUCGACAUCAUUUGCCUAAUGAUCGAAGGGUUUCAAAAAUUGUAAUUUUAAUGGUCGAUAUAAGACAUUUUCUCGUUUAACGGUGUAAAGAUAUCCAAAUCAAUUAAAUUUUUGUUAGAAAAUUUUUUAAACUAUUUAAAAUAAGAUCUAUACUCUUGAUCUUGAUUACAAGACUCAUAUAAUCAAUUUUUUAAGAAUAUUCAUUUUCAGCCGUUCAUUUUUAUGUUCACUCGAUGGAUAAGAGAGCAAUAUCGAAAAUGUAUGAAAUUUGAUUUCUAAAUACUUCAAAUAGUAUAGAUCAUGUUCAACGUGCCGAUCAUCAAUUUGGAGGCUCUAUCAUCGAAAACAAAUGAGUAGCAAAAGUGUCGGUUUGCUAUCGAUAGUAUUCUAGCUCAACUCUCUCUCUCUCUCUCUCUCUCUCUCUCUCUCUAUAUAUAUAUAUAUAGAGAGAGAGAGAGAGAGAGAGAGAGAGAGAGUGGUAUACUAUCAGGGUAAGCACAGAGUCCUCCGUGCCUCCUGAAGUUGUUUUGUCUCAAAUUAACAAUUUUAAUGGUAGAUGUACUUGUUUGUUGAAUUUAACGUGGUGUUAAAACAAUCGAAAUUUUUAUAGAAAAUUCUUUUCACUAUUUAGAGUAAAAUCAUUACCUCAGAUCUUAAAUUCAAGUUUUUUAUCAUCAUGUUUUAUGAGAUUUUUAUUUUCAGCAGUUCAUUUUUAAACUACUCGUUUGAUAGGUAAUUGAUACCGAAAAAUAUAAAAUUUAGUUUCCAAAUACUUUCAAUAGUGUAGAUCAAGUCUAACGAAACCGAUCGUGGAUUUAGAAGCCGCAUCAUUGAAAACAACUUGGUAGCAUAGAGGCCUCCGUGCUACCAAUAAUAUACCAGCCUAGCUCAUAUAUAUAUAUGUAUGUAUAUAUAUAUAUAUAUAUAUAUAUAUAUAUAUAUAUAUUGUAGAGCUACUAUAUUAUCGGAAGCAUAGAGGAUCAAGCAUUAUAUAUAGUAUAUUGACUGAGAGCGUAAACGAUGGUGCACGGUCGAGUAUAUUUUGAAUCUUUGAUUUUUCUGACAGAUAUAAUUUUGUAUUCCAUCUUUGACGUUAAUGAAAUUUUGCUUUGUUUUCGUCCGUGAAUGUAGAUUAGUAGUUGAACUACGUAAAUCUUAGUAUGUUCUUUUCUUUGUUUUUUUUUCGGAUCUGUUUUUUGCCGUUUGGCUUCAACAACACCUCACCAUCGAAAGUUCCCAGCUGCAGGAGAAGGAAUCUUCACUUUUGCUGGUGGUAGACCCACCGGCCACAGAAUACUGAUGGCAAAGGCGAAGAGAGAAGAAGUUCCUUGGUGGCUAGCUAAAGGCUAUUCGACCUUUAAUUAUUCUGCUUCCCAUUCGAUUUCUUUUCACUCUUCAACCUUAUCUCUCUCUCUCUCUCUCUCUCUCUCUCUCUCUCCCUAAAACAUCUACUUCAAGAGCUUCUUUGGUUGCAGUAUUUUCUCUAGUUAAACUUGAGAUUAAUUAUUUUGGAGCAGCUCCCUCUUCAAUCUCCUUUUCGGAUCUGUGGUUAGUUGUGCUUCUUCUACUUACUCUUUUAAUUCAUUUCUUGAGUUCCAAGGGUUCUUGUUUUUUAUUCUCUUUGCUAUGAUCAGCUGGCUUAAUUCUUUAAAGCACACAAGAGUAUAUAUAGUAUGUCUUUGUUGAUUAAUAUAUUGGUCGGAUUCACUUAAUGAUGCAUUGUAAACAAGAUGACAAGAGAUAAUAAUUGAGGUAGAAUAAUUUGGCCUUCUAUUGUACUUUCACUUUAUUGUUGAUGAUUGAGCAUCUAAAUCGAUGAUUAAUAUCAUGUAAGAUGUUUAAGGGUCAUAAACUUUCUAGAAAAAGAAUUUUACAAUUUUUCUUUAAUUAUUUUCUGGCUCAUCAAGUGGGCACAAUAUGAUUGGUCAAUAUUACCAACCUUUGGAAAAUAUUUUUUUUAAAAAAAAUCUUAAAUUCACAAUCCUGGUUGUAGGUUUUGAUCUAUAGUUGAGAGAAUUUUAUUUAUUAUCAAAAGCUCAAGUAAUUUGGAAUUUUUUUUUUUUAGAAAAAAGUAGCAUGCUACCGCUUCAUUCAACUAGAAAGUAAACUUAGCUACAAAUUGAGACAGCCAAGACCUCGAAGGGCAUUAAAAAAAAAAAAAAAAAAAAAAAAAGCACUAGGCCCAAGAGAUAAAGAAAAAAAGGAAAGACAAAAGGAAAAACAAUGCAAAUUAGCUACAUGAACAAUCCCACGAGUCUCUAAGCACUCUGAUCUUCAUUAACAAGCUCCCCAACGCCCGUCUUAAUUUCUGAAAAAUUCUUUUGUUAUGCUCCAACCAUAGAACCCACCACGUUGUAGCAAUGAUCAACAUUUCUUUAUCCCCCUGUGCAUCCCUUUUGGUACUGCUCUUUUUCUAUAGCUCCGUUACGGAUUGACGAUCAUUAAAGAGCAGUUUAUAAGAUAGCAAUCCUUUCAGUAAAGCUGUGGUGUAGGCGCAGGCAGAGAAGAGAUGAUCCAUAGUCUCCUUCUCAUCCAGACAUAAAACGCAACUCUCAUCUCCAAACCAAUCCGGCCCUUUUUAGAAGGUUGUCCGUGGUAAGCACCUUUUUUUUCAGCACCAGGCAGACGAAGAUCUUGACUUUAAGAGGGGAUCUGAUCUUCCAAAGACGUACCGAACUCUCAAUUUUGACUCCACCGUCUAGAAGAAAUUUAUAUACCGAUCUGACCGAGAAUGUUUUGGAUUGUGUCCACCUCCAUCUUACUUCGUCCUAUGUGUUACUUGGAGAAGUUGUAGCAAGUAACUCCUUGAAGUUCGAAAGUUGGUCUCUAUCUCUUGGGGACGAAGGGGUGAAUCCCGACAAAAUCUUAUGCCACUUCCACCCAUUCCUUCCCCAACCCUCCUUCACUCUUGAGUUUUUGGAAAUGAUCUUAUCAAAGAUACACGGAUAUAAAGUUCGCAGUGGAGCUCGUUCGCACUAGAUAUCAGUCCAGAACUUAACAAUUUGACCGUUCCCAAUAGUGUACGAGAUGCCACAUUUAAAAACCUCCCUGGUCGUUAGAACACUCUUCCACCAAAAAGAAUAGGGUUUGAAUGACCUACCUUCCGCAAGUAGUUUCCGUCGUAUAUAGUAAAGUCCGUCUAUUAGUCCACCCCAUAGAUGAUUCCUGUUAGAGAAGAACCUCCACCACCAUUUGGUCAAUAAGGCUACAUUCAUGGUCGCUAGGUCUUUUACCCCUAAACCGCCUCAUUUUACUUAUGCAAAUUGAUUUCCACUGAACUAGGCAGUGUCCGCCUAUAGUAAUUGUACUCCUCCGCCAGAAAAAAGCCCUUCUCAUGGCUUCUAGAUGAUGCAAGACCCACUUUGGUGCCUUGAAGAUCAAGAAGUAGUAAAGCGGUAGAUUCGAUAGCACUAAGUUCACGAGGACUAAUCUACCUCCUUGUGAUAGUAGUUUAGCUUGCCACUCUUCGAUCCGCCUCUCCAUUUUGCCGAUGAUAGGCCACCAGUCCUCUUUCUUUAGACGGUUCGUCGUUAAAGGUAAGCCGAGAUACUUAAUUGGGAAAGAUCCAAAUUUACACCCUAAUAGAAUCGCGAGUCUCCUACCGAGUCGUUCGUUCCGGCCCAUAUAGAAUAAUUCUAACUUCUGUCGAUUAAUUUUCAAUCCAGACGCUCACUCAAAAAUUUGCCACGAGAAGAGAAGAUUUUUCACUUGUCUUUUCUGUGCCCCACAGAAGAAGACGGUGUCAUCUGCAUAUUGGAUGAUAGCUACUUUAGUCUUAUCAUUGGGUCCUACGCCUCUCAACAGUUCAUUACGAACUGCUCUUUCUGUCAUUCUCGCUAAGCCUUCCGCCACCAACAAGAAGAGGUAAGAGGAUAACGGGUCCCCUGCCGCAAGCCCCUUCUAGUUUUUAUCCAUUUAGUUGGUGAUUCGUUAAUCAGCACCACCACCUUGGCAUUGGAGAUACAUUGUUCAAUCCAAAAGCACCACUUUUGGUUCACCCCGAGCUGUGUAAAGAUCUUUUUCAGAAAAUUCCAUCUCACUUUAUCAUAGGCCUUUUUCGAAGUAAGCUUUAAUACCUACACUUUCCGCACCUGUUUUUGAACACCAGUUUGUAAUUUCGUUGGCUGUAGCGAAAGAAUCGAGAAUGAACCGAUCUUUGAUAAAGGCUGACUGUGAUGGGGAAAUAAUGUCUUGCAUUGCCCCUGCUAAUCUAUUGGCAGGUACCUUAGAUAUGAUUUUCUGAACACUGUUAAUGAGGCUGAUAGGUCGGAAAUCAUUUGCCGUUGAAGAGCCCUCUUUCUUAGGAAUAAGACAGAUGUAGGAGUAAUCCAUUGGUCCAGAGUCGAAGUUGCAUAGAAACAAGUUAGUGAAGAUAUUGAACAAAUCCUCUUUGACCACCUCCCAGAAUUUCUGGAAAAUUCUCAUAUUGAACCCGUUCGGCCCCGGGGCUUUGUCACCACCGAGCUGAAAAGUGGCCUUCUUGAUCUCUUCUAAGGAGAACGACAUAAUCAAAUGGUCUAGGUUAGGUAAAGGUCUAGUCGUGAAUAGGCUACUCCAGUCCCCAGUCGUAGGAUUGUGUAUCGUAUCCGGGGUGAAGACUUCUUUGAAUUUAGAGUAAAAAUACUCCUUUUUAUCUUCUUCUCUGUGAAUGGUCCUACCAUCGUCUACAACCGUAUGGAUGAAAUUUUCAUGUCUCCUGCCAUUUGCUAGUGCGUGACAGAACUUGGUGUUACCAUCUCCCUCUUUCAGCCAUUGUUGUCUGGCUCUUGAUUUCCACAUAAUCUCUUCCUCGACAAUUCCAUCCCGAAGUUGUGCCUUGAGUAGCCGUCGCUGUUCAAUCUGUUCAUGGGAAAGCGAACAACUUUCUUCAAGAAGAUCCAGAUUGUGGAUCUCUUCAGCCUUUUCAAGGAUCUAGAAAUACUAUAAUAACUCAAGGAAUACUAUUCUUUAAUUCUCUUACGACAAUGUCUUAGCUUAGCGACAAAAGUAAGAACGCUAGACGCUUUAUUCGACACCUCCUUCCACCAAAUGGGCACAAGACUGCAAAAGUCCUGUCUCCUAAGCCGGACCUCUUCAAAUCGGAAGAAACAUAUACUCACCUUAUCACCAGUUGAUAGGAGGAUAGGACUGUGGUCAGAUGUGACUCUUGGUACAGCGACUACCUGAGUCAAAGGAAAGGCUUGAUCCCAUCGGUGAAAAUAAGGAAACGAUCAAGCUUCGCAAGGGUGGGACUAUAGUUUGCAUAUUGGACCAAGUAAAAUUUUGAUUGGCCAUAGGUAGGUCGAUCAGCUCCAAAGUAUUUAUCAGGUCGUUGAACAUAGUCGAAAGCCGUCUGCUCCAUGCUCGACCCUUACGCUCAAUCGGAUUUCUGAUUAGAUUGAAGUCCCCACAGAUCGCCCAAACCUCUCUGCACGCUCCCUUAAGCGCUUUUAGCUCAUUGCAGAAAUCCUCUUUCCCUUCUCACGAAGAAGGACCGUAUACAUUCGUUACGAGGAAAAUAGUCCCACUGUCCAAGUGCUUCAACCGAGUAGUAAGAGAGUAGUCGCGAACGAUAACCUCACAACAAGAAAAAAUUCUUGAACUCCAACAAGUAAUGAUUCCUCCAGCUGCUCCAUUUGAAUUAAUGAACUGACAUUUAUCAAAAUAAGAUCCAGCAAACGAUGAAAGAAAAGAGCGCGAGACAUCCUCCACUUUGAUUCUUGAAAACAUAACACAGACUUCUUAAACUUAGACACUACCGACUUCACAAGACAUCUUUUAUUUCGGUUGUUCAGACCUCUAACGUUCCAACAGCACAGCUAAAACAUGACACCCUAAGAGACCGCCGACUUCACAAUAGCGUCCAACUCACCAAAGACUACCUAAUGGGUAACGCACUGGAACUUCAGAAGGCUGCCAGCCUCCUCGUCGGUGAGGGAAAUUCAGCACUUGGCACUUUUGGUCUUUAUUUUAUUGAGCUUCCUUGUACCAGGACCCGCAAGUGUGGCUUUUUUCAUCGACCCCUUCUGCAACUUGCGCGAAGGGCUUGCGUAAAUUGAUACUUCUCCUUCCCUCAAGAGUGCUUUGCGUGAUAUAGCCCGCUCCAAAGAGAGAAUAUUAUCCCUGCCAGAGAAACGAGCGCUCUUUCUGGUGGUACUGGUGGACACCGUCGAGCUUGCUUUUCCUUGGUUCAAAUCCGCUUCGAAUCCAUCGGUAAGGGCCGUGAUGUGGUCAGCAUAUCCUAUUGUACAAGCCCCGUCAUCUGUCAGUAUAUUGUCGGGACCGUUGGUCGUCCAUUCCGCAAUGCAGUCCAUAGCCUAGUUAGUAAAUUCGCGAAUUAUUCGCGAAUCCGAAUUAAACGGUCAUUUUACAAAUUUUUUCCAAAGAAAAAGAAUUAUUCGCGAAUUUUUGGGCCAACCAAAUAAUGGCGUAUAAUUCCCGAAUAAUUGCCGAAUUAUUUGAAAAUAUGAAUAAAAAAUUAUAAUUUUUUUAAAAUAUAAAUUAUCUUAUAUUUUAUAUCUUAUAUUUUAUAUUUUAUAUCGAAUCCGUAUUUUAAGCCGAAUUUUUCGGCGAAUUUAAAAAUUAGAAAACGAAUUUUAUGCGUAUAAUAUCCGUACUGAAUUUUUAUCUAAUCCGAAUUAACUAACUAUGGUCCAGAGUAGUUCCCGCCUGUGGAUCAGUCCGCGCAGGGUUGCCGUGAGCGAAUAGGCCCAAAAACUGGAACUGUGACACUUCUUCAAGAGGUAGGCCGGUUCGUCCCCCCCCAAUCAGAAUAGACAUGGGUCUGGGUGGACUGUAAUCAAGGGGAUGUAGCCCGAAACAUAAGGCCCCCCAUUUGACGGGACUUUGACACAGCCCAUGGGAGUUAGGAGAACUGAUUGGGCGACAUCAGGCCUGAGCAAACUGAAGGCCCGCCAGUACCCAAGGUAGGAUUGAGCAUAGUCAGUAGGAUUGAGCAUAGUCAGGCCAUGGGUCGAGUACCCAAUUUUGGCCCGUAUAAUACUUCUCGAAUCUGCCUUAGCCUGCGAAGUGCGAAGACAUCACGGUCGAAACCCUUAGAUGAACCCGAGGACUCCCCUACUUCAAAGCUUCGAAGCAUGCUUCGUGAGGGUUUGCAAUUAAACAAGAAGAAACUGCCUCGCUUUUCUUUCUUCUUUUUUUUUUUUUUGAGAGAUAGACAGCACGCUACCUGCUUUGUUUACUUCAUUUAGAUAAAAAAACUUAGCUAGAAAUGUGAAUCAACUAGGAUUCGAACUUUGAUCUCGGGUACCAACCACCAAGCCCUUUGCCACUUGCUCUAGGGACGGUCGGUAAACUGUCUUGCUUUUACUUGUUAAAUUAUCAAUUUUGAGAUCAUUUGAUCACUAGGUAAUAAUAUCAACUAAAAUAAUAAUAAUAAUAAUAGUUUGUAAAGCAUGCAAAUAUUUUAGAUUAUAUUUAACAGGGUUUUUUUUGCAUAUAGUCCCCUGGCAAAUUUUUAUUUUAAAAAUAGCCCUCUUAAAAUUUAAUUUGCAAAAUGACCCUGGGCCUGCCACGCAGGCGCCACGUCAGCGCCACGCUAGUGGGGUCAGGGCCAAUGUGUUAAGUUAAACACGGUAAACCAUUCACCGUGUUUAGACACGGUUCACCGUGUUUCUUACGUAUAUUUUGUAUAUUGAAAAGAGGAAUAGGGAGUACCCACGGUUCACCGUGUUUCUUACGUAUAUAUAUAUAUAAUUUAUUCGGUUUUGGGUUCGGAUAAUAUUUCGGAUAUCCAUAUCUAUUGACAUCCCUACUCCCUAUUCCUCUUUUCAAGAUACAAAAUAUACAUACUAAACACAGUAAACCAUUCACCGUGUUUAGACACGGCGAAUGGUUGACCGUGUUUAACUUAACAUAUUGUCUUUGGCCCCGCCCGCGUGGCGCUGACGUGGCGCCUGUAUGGCAGGCCCAGGGCCAUUUUUGUAAAUUAAAUUUUGACAGGGCUAUUUUUAAAAUAAAAAUUUGUCAGGGGGUUAAAUGCAAAAAAAGCCCUAUUUAACAGUAUAAAAUGUUUAUUUAAAUGCCCUAUCAUUAAAAAAAAAUAAUAAAAAAGUAUGAAAGUCAUUUCAUGCCGAGAAAUUAAUAUUUCCGCUGAACUAUCGAAGUUAAUGUUUAUUUCGAAAAAAAACAUCAGUUGAUGUUAAAACUUGUAAUAAAAAACUUUUAUAAAUUGCAGCACAAAUCGAAGAAGUUGAAAUAGAACUUGUUAGAUUCUGGUCUGAUGAUAGGCAGUAUGAAUGUCGAGGCAACAAAAUUUAACGCAUAAGAAAUACGGGAAUUCAUGUGUCUAAAAUUAAGUUCUAUAUUUCCAUCACUAAUAGUUUCUUGCUCAAAUGACUUAAAAGUCCUGAUAAUAACUUAAUUGUGAACAAGAAGAGGGCUUCAAAGAAAACUCGAUUUAUAAUUGUUAAUUGUAGAAUAAUUUACAAUCACUCUUAAAACAAUUCCCUCUACUCUCAGUGACUAGCAGCAGAUUCAUUUGUUUUUCAACUCUUAUUUUAUUGAUUUCAUACUCCUCUAGAGGACUUUUCGAUAUCUUGCUGUACAAAUAUAUAUUGAGGUUAUAUAUAGGAGUUUAGUUAUGACUAGUUAUGAUGAAUCUUUUUAUCUCAAAAAUUUGUUUAACUGAUCCUGAAACAACUUAUUGCCUUUUAUUCUUGCAAACAACAAUUUUGUUAUUUGCGUUCCUUCUUUUUAACCGAGGAUUCUAACAAAUGUUUGUUUAGUGCAUUAAAGAGUUAUUCUGCAUGAGACAAUGACAUGGUCUUUACAAAAAUUGCUUGAAAUCGUACAAGCGUUAAAAAAAAAAUCAUAUUCGCGAGUGGUACAUUUGAAGAGACAUGGUAAUUUGAAAAGAUAUUUUAUGUCAGGCUCACUUCGGCGCAAGUGCCCAUGGCGGAGGCGGCGAUAAGCUCAUUAGUCCUGAAUAUCGGUGCGACCUUAGCUAGUGAAGCAACUAAAUCAACAACAUCACUAUUACUAACACGGAUAUCAGCAAUGAAAGAACUAGUCGAGGAUAUAAGUGACAUUAAGGGUGAGCUUGAGAGCAUGCUAUCCUUCCUACGGAUCGCAGAAAGAUUAAAACAGAAGGAUGAGAGCACAAAAACCUUCAUAAAACAAACAAGAGACUUGGCUUUCGACAUUGAGGAUAUUAUAGAUGAGUUCACAUACAAGCUCUGUGAAGAGCAAGGAGGGGUCCUGCCUAAAACAGUCAAGAGGUGCAGAAAUGUAACAACUUGGCGUCGCCUUAGCAAAAGGCUUAACAAAAUCAAAAUUAAGCUCCGAAACAUUAAGGAAAGAAGAGAGCGAUAUGAUACGAGCAGAAUGGAAAAUGAAGCAAGAUCUUUAAUAGCUGCUGGCAGUAGCAAGAGCCCCGCAGAUUUAGCACAUUUUGUCGAGGAGGAUGAUAUCGUGGGUAUUGACAAGUACAAGGACUUGUUGCUUGGAUGGUUAAAAGAUGAGGAUGAGCAACAACGACAGCCCAUGAUAAUCUCAGUGUUGGGGAUGGGUGGCCUAGGGAAGACAACUCUCGUAACUCAUGUGUACAAAACCAUCAAAGCUACCUUUGAUGUUUGUGCCUGGGUUGCUGUAUCUCAAAGUUAUGAGACUCGUGAUUUGCUUAGACAGAUCUUAAAAGAGUUCUGUAGGGAAGAUCGUGAGAAAAGAGAAGCACCUAACAACAUUAAUACCAUGGAUUAUAGAAGCUUGGUUGAGACUAUCCGCACUUAUUUGCAGUGUAAAAAGUAUGUACUCAUUCUGGAUGAUGUUUGGAGUAUUGAUGUACUGGACAAUAUAAAAGCUGCACUUCAGAAUAGUAAUAGCAAGAGUAGAAUAGUUCUCACAACAAGGAUUCGCGAUGUAGCUCUAUUAGCUAACGAGCACCGUAUGUUUGAGCUAGAGCCACUGGAGGCAGAUGAUUCGUGGGAUCUAUUUUGUAAAAACGCAUUUUGGAAAAGUGCAAACAAGAUUUGCCCACCGCCUUUAGAACAAUGUGCUAAAAAAAUUGUCGAGAAGUGCGGUGGCUUGCCCCUUGCUAUCGUAUCUAUAGCCCGUCUCUUAUCAUUUCGAGAACAAACCGGUUUUGAAUGGGAGAAGGUUUACAAAGAUCUUGAGUGGUAUCUAACUAACAACGAAUCGAAGCUCCAUGAAAAAGUACAUGACAUUUUGAAACUUAGUUUGGACGAUCUUCCCCAUUACCUUCGAAAUUGCUUCUUAUAUUGUUCUAGUUUUCCGGAAGAUUAUACAAUUGAAAGUAACAGGCUCAUAAGGCUUUGGGUGGCCGAGGGGUUCAUUGAAGAAAGAGAAAGAACGAUGGAGGAAGUGGCUGAGGACUACCUUAACGAACUUGUUCAUCGCUGUCUACUACAAGUGGCUGAGAGGAACGACGUCGGUGGAGUUUGUGCAUGCGAAUGCACGACAUCAUUCGAGUCCUCGCUCUAUCAGAGUCAAAGGAGUUAAGUUUCUGCAUGGUUUACGAGCAUUCACGGACAAUAUUGCAGGGAUCCAAAGCACGCCGCUUAUCAGUCGUAAGCAAUAUAACUAAUUAUCGUACUGAAGAUGAAUCUCAUUUGCGUUCAGUGCUUGUUUUCAACAAUUCCACGAACUAUGAUUUACUGCAGUCGGUCUUAAGAUCAUCAAAAUUUUUACGUGUCUUAGAACUAGAAGGAGCGCUAAUCGAGAAACUACCGAGUGAGAUCUGUAACCUAUUCAACCUGCAUUAUCUAGGCUUGCAAGAAACGAAAAUUAAGGAGCUUCCACAAUCAAUCGGGAAGCUACGAAAUCUGCAAAUAUUAGAUAUAUUUGGAAGUGAAAUAGAAAAGCUGCCAAAGGAAAUAACAAAGCUCCAAAAGUUGAGACAUCUAGUUUUGCCCUACAGUUUGCGUAAGAACAUCACGGCACUGGUGGGAAUAUGGCGGUUGAAGGGCUUGCAGAGUUUGGCAAACAUUAGUGCAACUAGGAAGAUUGUGCGGAAUGUAGAAGCUUUGACAGAAUUGCGGACAUUUUCAAUAACCAGCGUAAGAACCCAUCACUGUGCAGACUUGUGGAAUAGUAUCACAAAGAUGAACCAUCUUAUCGAUUUAAAUGUCGAAAGUGAAGAUAGGCAAGAAUUACAGCAGUUGGGCACCCUGCGCCUACCUCUACCAAUUCAACAAUUACGUCUACAUGGUAAAUUAGACAAAAACUCACUCCCUGAGCUUGCCACGUCCUUCGGGUCUCUUACAAACCUAACCACAUUAACACUUUUUUAUGCAAAAUUGGAUGAAGAUACAUUUCUUGACCUGCAAGCGCUACCCGCAUUGAGUUUUCUUGAACUUUUUUGCGCAUAUGAUGGCAUGAAGUUGCACUUCCGAGCAACAUCAUUCCCGAACCUGAAGGUAUUGUCCAUAUUAUCUGCCCCGAAGCUCAGUCAGGUGGAAAUAGAAAGAGGAGCAAUGCCAAACCUGAAUAAGCUUCAGAUACACAAUUGCCCCGAGCUAAAGGAGCUGCCCCACGGUAUCGAGUACCUUACCACCCUUCAGGAUUUAGACAUUAGCUAUCCAGCAGAGGAACUUGUUGAGCUGCUUCUAGGAGGAGGAGAAGGCGACCAUAGCAAUGACUGGCGCACGAGGGUUCGCCACAUCCCGAAUUUUAUUCUUUGGGUCAAACGAGACGGCGAGUAUGUCGAAGAAAGGAUUCAAUGAUUCCAUAUCGUGUAGGUGAGUUUGGGCGCUUUUUGCAAAGCACCGGCCGAGCUUGAUGCUUUCAUAUUUUCCGCCUCAGAUCUUCUAAAUAAUCCGUGCUUGAGGAAAAUUGAAAAUGAUGAUCGAUAUAUGCAGGUGUUAUCUUAUAUGUGUAUUUUAUUUUAUUUCAUUUUCAAUGUAUGUGUGUGUAAAAGUGGAUGCAUCAAAUUAGUUGGUGCAUGCCUUCAGCUACUCGUAUUAUGUAUUUGGAGAAUGCUUUGUGCCCUUAAAACUUUAUUUGUUGACUAAAAUAAAAAAAACCUUCCUCGUAAAUAUCCAUAUUUUUUACUUUUUACUUGUUAAGAAAAAAAAAAAAUUUUUUUUUUUAUGCAUCUUUAACAAUUUUAGGGUUUGUUUGGUUCGAAGUCGGAAUCAGUAUCGAAAUCGAAAUGAUUCAUUAUUUCAUUCUGUUUGGUUCGUCCCCUGAAACAGAAUGGGAAUGAACUAUUCCCAUUAUCAGUAUUUGGUUCAGAUAGAUGUCAGAAAUAUAAUCAAAUUAAUAUGUCAAUUUUAUCUUUAUAAUAUAUUAAUUUAAAUUCAAACUAAAAAUUUAAUAUUAAAAAUUUACGUCAAAAUUUUAAAAUGAUGUUAAAAUUUUAAAUAUAUUUUUUUAAAAAAAUUAAAAUUUGAAAUUAUACGGAUAAUUCAAAUAUAAAACUAAAUUUUGAUUUAUUCAAAUUCAAACUUAAAGUUAUAAUUUAAAUUUCAAUUUUAAUCCAUAAAUUUAAUUUAAAUUUUAAAUAAAAUUUGAAUAAAACUUUGGAUUUAAAGUAAAUUUAAAUUUAAAUUCAAAUUUAUAAAUUAGAUUCGAAAUGCUUGAUUGAAUUUUAAUUUUUAAUUUAGGUUUAAAUUAAUAUUUAAAUUUAUAAAACUUUUAUUUAUUGGCUAAAAUAGAGAGAACCUCCCCCCUAUAAAUAUCCCUUUUUUUCACUUUCUCCACCCAACUUUCAAACAACUUAUAUUCUGCUCCCUUUAAAAUUUCAAAAGUAUUUUUAGAAGGUGACGACGUAAAUGGAGAGGAAGAAAUAACUAAAUUUUCUUUAUUUGUUUUUUAAGAAAAACAUAAUGUUUUUUUAUGUAUUUUUGCUAUUUUUAAGGUUAUUUUCAAUAUAAAUUAUAAGAAAUGAACGGAAUGUUGGGAAUCCGGUAUUCGCCCCAGUACCGGAUCUCGUGAAUCCGCAACCCACUCCGAUACCGACUGUUGUGGAUUCGGUACCGAUUGUUGGGAUUCCGCAACGGAAACGUCAAAUCGGAUUUUUUACCAUCAACCCGUCUCCUCAGCAAAAGCUGAUACAAUCACAAAAGAGAGAAAAAAUCAAAACAGAAAAUAUGCGGGUAAAACAAGAUUCAUUAAAUAAGAGAAGAAUACACCUGACUCCUCUUCUGCACAAAGUAGCUACAACCCGAGCCCUCUUUUUGAAUCUCUCCUAUCCUUCCCUCGUCUUCUAUAAUCCCAUAAAGAAGACAAUCAUCCGCGCGCACCCAUGCACUAGGUGCACUAAAUAACUCUCUCUCUUUUUUUCUCUCUCUGGUACGGCUCCCAAGAGGCCUUUUCUCUCUCUCUCCCGUACUCACCCCAAAAAGAGACUCUAAUGCAUUAUAUAUAAUGCUCCAUCAAGAAUGUACCCAAUCCUAAUAUAUUUAGGAUUUCGACUCCAAUUAAUAUCUAAAUCUAUCUUAAUUAAUCUCUAAUAGAUUUAAAUAUUAAUCCUAAUUUAGUUAGGUUUAUCCUUUAAUUAAUAUUUAAAUCUUAAUUUAUCUCCAACAGAUUUAAAUAUUAAUUAUUAUCCAAAUAUGAUUCAAUUACAAAUCUAACCAAAUCCUAACACGGAACAGUGACGAAACUCUAAUGAAGGGGGGUUUAAAUGCAUCAACUUAAAAUUUUGAGAAGAUAAAAUAUAGAUUUUUGAAAGCUAGUUGAGGAAGUGAAAAAAAUAAGUAUUUACCUGAAGUUUUUUCUAUAGUUUACCCUUAUUAAAAAGAUUUUUUAAAAAAAUUGAAGAAAAAGCUUUCGUACAAUAUUGUCUUGAAGGAUAAAAGCAAAUGUCAGUUCUUAACUACAUUGAGUAAAUCCUAGAUAAUUAGGACUUAAAUAGAAGAGCUAGUUUCACAAAUUUUGCUGUCUAACAGAUUAGUGAGAAAAUCUAUUGUUAGAUUUCGGUUUAAAUUUAUAGUUAUUGAAAUUAAAGUCAAAUUUAUUUAAAAUUGAAGUCAAAUUUUACUUUAAUUAGGAUAAGAUGAGAUUUAGUUUUUAUUAAAACAUAAAUAGAGUUUAAUUAAAGAAUCUAAUUGGACUGUCAGUUCUAAUUAGUCUCAACAUUUGACACAGAGAGAAUUAAUUAAGCUCUCAAUUAAAUAGUAUUUAGCAAAUCGGAGGGGUCGAUUAUAUUAAAAUAAUGAUGACCAACUUGUUAGCCAAUUAAUUUUAUUCCGCAUGUGCAACUCGUAUCAUUAUAAUUGUUGAAACAAAAAUCAAAGUCUCUUGAACUUUUCUCAUAAACAGAUUGAUUUAAGAAAUAUGUUGAUUGUUUUCAAUAAACAACUGCUUCUUCUGAUGUUUACAAUAUAAUAGUAUAUAUUAUAUGAUUCAUUUACUAAUAAUUGAAUUGACUUUGAAUAUGGAUUUAUAUAGAUAUAGAUAAAAAUUAUCGAACCAAUCAUACUUUAUUUGUAUUUAUCCGAAAGAAAAAAAAAAGAAAAAGAUUUCUUCCGUUAAUUCUGAAAAGUUUUCCUAUUGAAAGAGGAGCAUACGUUUGUUCCUAAUUAUAUGCGGUGUGAUUAAUUUAAUAAUUAUUAAUUAUAACUUUAUUCGGCAACAUGAUUAUAAAAUCCUAGCCGUCAAUCCUCUCUUCCUCAAAUUCUCCAUAAUUAAUCUAUCGGUUUCGAUCUUUAAAAGAUUGCUAACACAUCUAAAAGAUUGAUUCAUUUUCUUCAAAUUGACGCAAGAGUUAAUUCGUGAUUGAAUCAUGAAUUGAAGUAGUCGUCUAAUUCGAUCAAGGGCGUGAUUUCGUGUGGACGCGAGUAGAGGCCAGACGUGUACGCGGCUAAGCGAGGACGAAUAAUUUUUACCAAUGAUUUUCGACUUUCGGUGAUCUCGACCCGCGCAAGAUAAAAAACUGGAUACUAUGGUUAACUUAAAUUUGAAUUAUCACAAUUAUAUUAUAUAUACUCUGUUUGGAAUAACUGUGGUUGAUUCAUAAUUAUUUGGCUUAAAGAGAUUCCAAAAAAUUUUCCCUAAAGUUUUUUUUUUUUUUUUCCCCUUACAAAGAAUAGACUUUUAUCUAAAGAUUAGCCAAUAUUUAUAUUUUACAAGGCCCAUGGGCAACUUCAUAAAAAAUAAAAAAUAAAAAUAAAAAUAAAAAAUUUUAGGGACCAUUUGCCGUGACAAGUUAAAAUCAAUGAGUUACGUAUAUGGUACGGGUAAUAAAUGGAAUUCAUUUCAACAAUUUGUAUGUUGGAAAUGAAUAGUACAAUCUUAAAGGAAAAAAAUAAUUGGCAUAUCCCACAGCAUAAAGAGAGCCUGAGAUCCCAAGAUACAUGAGAUCAUUAUGUGCAUAAUCAUUUAUUUCCUAUGCAUUCUAUUCAAACAAAUAAUUAAGAGAAAUAAACAUGCAAAAUUAGUAUAGUAGGAAAAAAAAAAACAAGAGAAAUUAGUAUAGGGUGUUGUUUUUGUUAUAAAUAAAUUAUAAGUAUGGAUCUAUAUCAAGAUAAGAAAAUAUACACCAAAUUUUAUAGAUCACCAAGACGAGAUUUGACACAGAGCUAAAUCUCUUCUAAAGGUGAUGAUUUACUAACAAUUACACCUUGCGCAUGUUAAUUGAUUUACGACUAACAUGAAAAAAUUGGUUUGCAGAUGAACCCAACUUUCGGGUGUACAAAUAGUAUUGCUCAAAAAUAAAAUGGACCAGUCGAACAUUUGCAUUCAAUUGUUUGCAUAAAAUUUACGAUUUCAUUUUUUUUUUUUUUUUUUGGUGUUACUUAUACCCAUGUUUAAAAUUUCUUCCAUAUUAGCAUUCGAGUCCUAUCAAAUAAACCAAGGCCAAAGUACACUAUUUUACAUUAAAAUCAGGAACACAAAAUUCCAAAACUCUAUAUCAAUAACCUGAGACAAAUUCAUAUAGAACAGUACAAUUUUAGAAUAUAUAACAUCAUUGAAAUAUCAAAUUCCGUCCAAGUUUCGUCGAGCACAAUUUGUUCUUUUCCUUCUAUUAUUUUUUUUCAACAUGUAUUGCGUCGAACAUAAACAAAACGAGGAACAACACGCCGAAGCAACAGAUAAAACACACUAUGUACCACUUUUCAAAUUACCCAGAAAGGUUUAAAUAAAACGAGGAACAAACAAGCCGAACCGGCAAAAGAGAAACACACUGCGUACCACUUUUCGGAGUACGCAGGAGAGAAACCUUUGGCGAACUUAAAAGUUUUGUUAAGUCUUUCAAGGGCAUCAUACCAUUCGAUCCAUCUCCGAGAGCAGUCUAUUUAUACGAUGAUUUUGACAAGCAUGAAAUGCUUCAGCAGAUCAGCUCUUCUGAUGCACAGCGAUCACAUGGAUGUCCAUCACCUUCAGCAUGACGGAUCGGCCGCAAGAAUCACACGGCGCCGUUCUCAACCCGCAUAUGCUCUCGUGCUUGGAGAGACCUCUGAGGCGGUCACGGGCAUCAAGCGGUUCGGUCCCGGCUUGGACCAUGUCUCCGCAGAAACGGCACACUAUGAGCCGCAACGGGCAGGUCAAGGACUGGUGUUGGACCUACCAUCACAAAGAAAGAAGUAAGAAGUUCAUGCGAUGUAGUUCGAUGUUGGCUCUUACUACUGUAGGUUAGGCCAUGCCAAAUCCAUUUUUGCAAAAGAAGCUCUUAUAUUAAUAUGUAUCAAAUGGAACACCUUCUAUUACCAAACUAAGCAGAUGGUUUCCAGUCUAAGUACAAAUGUAAAAGUACUCGAAUUUCAUUGGGUAAUACUAAAUAUUAAAAUCCGUCUAUUAACACAAGGAUAUGUUUAGUUUUACAGGUAUCAGCAGUAACAGACUCAAAAAAUGCAUUUUAUCGAGCAUAAUUUCAAAACAACAUGAAAACAAUAUAAACUGAUAUAUGUAGAUGAAAAAUCUCCAUAGAUAUAUAAUAAACUGCGCUUACCAUUUCUUCCUUCUCGAGGACUACUCCACAUGCGCAAUGGAGUGGCUGAUGAAAAACUUUCAUAUGCUUCUCCAUCUCCCCCUGUUGAAAGGCUUGUCCGCAUUUACCACAAUGCACAUGGUUCGCUGCUUGCUCCUUCCUGAGAACGACUCCGCACCCCUCAUGCUGGCACACCAAAUUAUGCCUGACGCAGUAUGCUUCAUGGAUCACAAUGGUCCUGCUGGAUAUAUAAUGCCGACAGUUCCGGCACUCGACUGAAUCGGAAUCAACUUGAGAGGAAGCAUUCAAAUGUUCUCCGACCUUUUGCCUGUUAUUGUUAAUAUUCUUAACUUCUACAGAAAUAUUGAAUUUCGUAACUCCCCUGAAGCCAAAAACUCCAAUGCUGUAGGUACCUGCUACAAGGCUUUGAUCCUUCGGUUUAAGGAUCAAAACCUUCGAGCCCAUCUCAUGGGAUGACCAUUCAUGUCGAUGUUGGGUCGGAAAUGCCAGUGGAUGCCUAGAUACAUAAAUAUUAGUAUCACCAUCACUAGUAUCUGCCUCGAUCUUGACUUCUAUAUUCAUUAGCCCGGACGAAACUUUCUCACUAACAGCCUCUUCAAUGGAAAACUUAUAGUACUUAAACUUUCCUUCUUCCACGAUUCCCGACUCAGCCUUUCCUAAUACAAGCGGUAUGAGCACAUGCUGUUCAUUCUCCUUGUCCAAAACAGAAUCGGAUCCCUCUAUAUCGACUUCAAUAUCUAUUUCUAAAAUUGAAACACUCGAAGAAGGUUUGAGCUCUAGAACUCUUAACUUGUACUGCAGCUCUCCAUAAUAGACCGUGAUAACAUCGCCUUCUGACAGGGUCGCGUGUUUUCGAAGAGUGGUUUCGAGGAUAGCUUUAUGGUUAGGAAGGUCGGAGAAGCCCACGGCUUCGGGCUUAAGCUUCGCAUAAGUUCCUUUUGGCAAGCUGGCAUAGUGCACCUCAAUUAAAGGAAUUUCAACAUUGGUAUCAGGGAAUAAAUUUGUCCAGACAUGCGGAGGCAGCUCUGAAGAAUUUUCUCGUGCAGUGAAUUCGAGGACUCCUGAAUGAGUUGUUUUCAUAUCUUGAUUUUCGCUGGAAUUAGAAGUUGAGGGACCUCCUUCAUUAACUUUGGACAACCUAAAGUACAUAGGACCUUUAUCCAGGGCCCCUUGAUCAGAUAGUUCUUUGAAGCAAGAAGGCGGUAGCUUGAUCUUGUCUCCAGAACCAUCAUAUGGAAGGGCUUCAAAUAACCUUGAAAAGACAAUCCCGUUGCCUAGAAGCAUGUUUUCUUCCAUCUGUUGCUCUGCCUGUCAAAUAGACCAAACAUUAAUAACCUCACAAGAGCAUAACUACUGAUAAUUAAGAUCUAUCUAAUAAACCACUAAGUAUGUUUAAGCGGCAAUCUUCUCAAUUAACUUGCAAUAGACAAAUAGCAGCAAAUACCUAUGCAUCAACAGUAGAAAGAUAUAUGCUAACAAAGCACAGAAGCCUGGAGAAACAUCAACAGGUACUAUCAUUCAUUCUAGAUGCCGUACGCUCUGAAGCAUCAUUUACAUAUUGAGGCUGUAAUUCAAUUGCAGUUAAGAGAAAGAUCAACAGGUACUACAAUUUUCUUUUUCUUUUUCCCAGUUCUAGAUGUCUUACACUCUGAAGCAUCAUUUAAAUACUGAGGCUGUAAUUCGAUUGCAAUUAAGAGAAAUAAGGUCAGGGAUCUUUCUUCAAGUACUUAACGGUGAUGGACCAAUGAGUAAGAAUUCCAUAUAACCUCAAUUUUCUCAUUCAAGUAUAUUCUCACCUGGUAGCAAAGUGCGAAAAGAUGAAUCCAAUUUCAAUACAAACUCCCACUUCAAUUAUUCAACGCAUAUUCUCACCUGGACAGGAAUUCUUUCCUUGGACUAGAACAUCCGGAUAGCAACUUUGUUCCCUCCUUGCAUUGAAUGCUUAAAUAUGUAUUAAAUAAAUUUGCAGUCGACAUCUGAUACCGUCAGCAUUUCCUGAUGCCAAUUCGCAUUAUUUUUCCUGGAGAUAGAAAAAUUAUGGGGCUCAGCAUAACACAACUACUAGAUAAAAUUUUGCAGGUAAAGAUCAGUCAUGAUCAAAUUUAGGACUGGGAUUGAACAAGAUUAAAUUCAGAAAUUCUGUUGUAUCCACCACUGGACCAAGCCCUAGCGCCGCGAACCUUAGCACUACCAAGUUGUUAAAACAACGCUCUCCUCCGACAUAACUCUCUAGUCUUAUUCUAUUCAAUCCAAUCUUGAGCAUGAUAAAAGGGCCUUAAGAUGUGGUAUCUCAUGAAGAAGUCACUAUUAACACAGCAAACAUACGUUAACAGUGAAGAGGACGCUUGUGUCAAACACUUGCUGCCCGGCAGUAACCUUUAGCCCAGCAGACAUCAUCACUGGGUUGGUCAAAAUUCACAGUUUGCCUGUAAUGAUGAUGAUGAUGCUCGCCAUGCCAGAUAUGUAUGUGCGUGCUACUAUCCUAAUGGCAGCGAAUCAGCAAAUCAAUUUAAGAGAUAAUGAAAUAAAACAAAUUGAUUCAUCAAUUUCUAUGAAAAUAAAAAAGAUUUUAGGAGUAAUAACGUUAUAUUCGACAAGCAGACCUUAGAAUAAGAUGCUAAAGUAACAUUCAUAUGCAGACCACCAGCUUCAACUCUGAAAUAAUUGUUUCCUAUGCGCACAGCUUUGACAUCCAAAGCAGGAGAAUUACUAUCUUCAAUCUGGCCGUUGAGAGAAACUGAAAUAUCAGAAUUUUCAGAUCUCUUAUCACUGACAAAUAUAGAAGUGAACUCGAACAAUUUGACGCAUUUAUAAGAGUAAUAUAUUACCGUGAUGAAAUAACUUCCAUCAGAUUGAUAUGUAAUGGCAAGUUGCAAAAGCUCAUUGCAGAGGCCAUCAAGCUCUUUAUCCCACUCAAGUUCCAAUACACGUUUGGCUCUGUGAUGCAUUCCGAAAGGUGGAUGGGUAUACCACAAAGAAAGUAAAUUGUCCCCACCUGCAAUUAUUCGAUAUUUAAUACAUCGAUAUCAUUUACCACAGCCUGCAUACCUGCAGACAAACAGGAAUUACAUACACUAUACAUAACAUGCAGGGAAGAGAUUCUCUUGAAGUGAUGUAUUCCUUUUCACAGAUACAGGCAGCAACCAGUGUAACACCGAGCUUAGCAGCAUUAGAUGCUUCGUCAGUUAGUUUUUCAGCUGAAUCAACUAGAAGAUCACUUUUGUGAUGCUCGAUGAAAUGGGUUUCUACCAAGCCUCUCUCAAAGGCCCAGUGACCUGCAAGCCCUUGGAGGAAACCAAUAUUGGUCGGCAAACCUGCAAUCUGCAGUGGCCAUAGUCAGAGAUGCCUGAGGCAGAGAAAUUAUUAUACACAUUAUAUUCAGAUGCUUCAAUACAAAGCGAACAGCAUGAAAUUGUUCACGAUACAAAAAUAAAUCGAAAGUGCAUCAUUGUGGAAGUAGAUUCUCUACCUCAAGAUUAUACAAGACAGCUAUUAGUUGGCAUCUGUUAGAAAUUUAUAUACCACGUACAUGUCUUCAAUCAAAAUUGUAGCAUUGCUAAGACAAACAAUAAGACGUUGUGAGAUACGACUAUACAAGAAUUACAAUCCAUCUAUUAUUACUAUGCAACAGUGCUCGAUCGUUGGCAUCAAGCAGCUGGAACUUACAAGAAAGUGCUAAAUAAACUUGAUGAUAACAUCUUGAUCUGAUAUUCAUACAAAAGCAACUAGACAUGUCACAUGCACCUGAAAGUUUGACAAGCAGCUCUUUAGUUUGACCAAUGCAGCAUUGCGAGUUUCGCCCCACACCACAAGCUUAGCAAUCAUUGGAUCAUAAUGCAUGCUGACAGUAUCUCCUUCCUCCGCUCCCGUUUCGACUCUCACUGUUUUACAAUAUGUAGAUUAGGGGUCAUUGUUGAGUCAUGGAAGACGUCGAGCUCUAGAUGUGUACUGGCUUUAUUAGCUAAUACUACCUAAUGUGUGUAGCAAUAAGCAUAUGUACUAUGUUUCAGUAGCAGAUAUCAUAGUUAGUUAAUUCGGAUUCGGCAAAAAUUCGGUACGGGUAUAAUUCGGAUAAAAUUCGUAUUCUAAUUUUUAAAUUCGUUGAAAAAAUCGGCUUAAAAACGGAUUCGCCAAUUAUUCGGAUACGUGAUUUAUACGGAUAUUAUACGUUUACUAAUUAAAAAUUCGGGAUCAAAAAUUCGGCUAUUAAAUUAAUUUUUUUCUCUCAAAAUUUAUGCAAUUAGCAUAAAUAUUCAUAUUUUUUAAGAAUAUAAAAAUAAAAAGCUACAAAAUUAAGUAAAAAACAAUAAUAAACAGAGAAUGAACACAUUCAUGAAAUUGAUUAGGUAUAAUAGAAGAGUUCCUGGUACCUAAGUUAAUUAAGAUUAUUUAGCUCUAUGUUUGGGUCUUCUUUGUGCAUAACAGAGAAUUAAUGGACACAUUUAAUUUAAGCACUCGAGCCAUUUGUGUAUAAAAAAGUAUCCAUCAAAUGGACUAAAAGCUUCCAACUUUUGCUUUGUAAAAAAACCACCCGAUUACUGAUCUAUUGUUGGAUAGCUGAAGCGGAAGCGGAAGAGGCGACGAGGAGGGUUUCGAUUUCUGAAGAGUGAAGAACCCGAUCUUCGAUCUUCGAUUUCUGAAGACGAGGGCUUCCGAUGGCGUUCGGCGAGCGGCUGGAAGGGAAGAGGGGGAGGGGAAGGGACCGCGACCGCCAUAGGGUCGGUGGCAGGGCCGCGCGCCGCACCGCCGCAGGGGUGAGAAGUUAGGGCAAACCCUUUUUUUUUUGGAGUGGUGGGGGUGGGAGUGGGUGUGGGACUUGGGAGGAGGGCGAUUCAGAAAGGGUUUUUUUUUUUUUUUUUUUUUUUUUUUUUUUUUGGGCGACAGGCGAUUUAGAAAGUUGUUUUUUUUUCCGUUUGGGCCACCCGUGAGGCCCGCCCGACGCGGCUCGCAGCAACUGGGCCGUAUUUUUGGGCCGAAUUAUUCGCGAAUCCCGUUUAAUUCGCGAAUAAUUCUUUUUGCCCAAAAAAACGCGAAUUAUUCCGAAUUUUUGGGAAAAAUGCGUAAACGGCUGUAAAAUUCGGGAUUUCAAAAAUUCGCGAAUAAUUCGCGAAUUAUUCGCGAAUUAACUAACUAUGGCAGAUAUUACCUGUUGGGGUAACAGGGACUGGUCGGUAGUGGUGUAGGGUUCCAGUUGCGGGAAGAAAACCUCUUGGGACAUUUUCAGCAUAUAUUCGAGCCUCAUUCUAGCAUUGCUACACACGAAAUGGAGUAAAGGUAGAUAAUAUGGCUAGAAUUGCAAGUUUUGAAGAGGGAAUAAUAGCUCAUUCUAGCAGUUUGCACAUAGGAAUUCAAGUUUGUCAAACGGGCACGAUUGAAAAUGUGUGAUCAAAUUAAACAAAGUUUACCAUUCAAGGGCAAUUGUUCCCGAGUCAGGGGAAGAGGUUCUCCAUUUGCAACACGAAUUUGCCACUCCACAAGAUCUUGGCCAACAAUCAUCUCAGUUACAAGAUGUUCUACCUUCAAAAUAUUGAUGUAAGAAAUCAGGUAUAUAUUUUCUGUCGCACAACAGCAAUUUGCAUGUAAGGAUCAAGUUGCACAUGUAUAUACUAGUGCACAUGCUUACCAAAUGGAAGUUUCCCAAAACAGUGUGUACAAGAAUAAAUUUAAUCAUGCACAUAGAACAGUAUUUUGAAUGUGAACAUUUUAAGGUAGAAAUAGCUGAUAACAGUAUGCCUGAUUAGUUAAGAAAAGCAUUAAUAACUGAAGGCGAGUAUUCAUUUCCAUGAAAUAAAAUUGCCCAGAAAGCGUAUCCAUUAUAAACUCCACUGUUCCGGCAUUGUGAUAGCCAACUGCUUUCAAAUUAGUUAAAAAGAAAUAUGAAAGUGCACCAACUCUGUGAGAAAUUUCAGGAGGCGGCGACGUGAAUGAAGAGGAAGAAAUGACUAAAUUUUCUUUACUUGUUCUUUAAGAAAAAAAUAAAAUUUUUUUAUGCGUUUCUGCCAAUUUUAAAAAUAUCUUCAGUAUAAAUUAUAAGAAAUAGACGGAAUAAUGAGGGAAUCCUUACGAAGGGAGUUUAAAUACAUCAACUUGAAAUUUUAAAGAGAUAAAAUAUAGAUUUUUUAAAAAUCAAUGGAGGAAGUGAAAAAAUAAGUACUUACAUGGAGUUUUCUAUAUUUUACCCUUAUUAAAAAGAUUUUUUAAAAAAUUGAAGAAAAAGCUGUCUAUAAUGUCUGGAAGGAUAAAAGCCAAUGUCCAAUGUUGGUUCUUAACUACAUUGAAGAUAAUUAGGACUUAGAUAGACGAGGUAGUUUCAUAAAUAUUGCUGUCUAACAGAUUAGUGAGAAAAUUUAUUGUUAGAUUUCGGUUUAAAUUUUUAGUUAUUUAAAUUAAAGUCAAAUUUAUUUAAAAUUAAAGUCAAAUUCUACUUUAAUUAGGAUAAGAUGAGAUUUAGUUUUAUUAAAACAUAAAUAGAGUUUAAUUAAGAAUCUAAUUGGACUGUGAGUUCUAAUUAGUCUCUACAUUUGACAUAUUCAAUAUUACAUAUAAGAUGUACGGCCAGAGGAGGGAAUUAAUUAAGCUCUCAAGUAAAUAGUAUUUAGCAAAUCAGAGAGGCCGAUUAUAUUGAAAUAAUGAUAACCAACUUGUUGGCCAAUUAAUUUUAAUUUGCAGGUGCAAUUCAUAUCAUCGUAAUUGUUGAAACGAAAAUCAAAGUCAUUUUAAUCUUACCCCUACAUUACCCCUACAAAUAUUUACUUUGUUUCAAGAAUACCCUCAACUCAUUUUAAUCUUAGUUAUACCAUGAUAUAAUGAAGGUUAAGAAUAAAAUUGUCCAUUUUGCCCCUAAACUGGUGAGGGCAUAUAAAUGUAUGUGGUCCAUUUUUUUUAAUUUUUUUUUAUCCAUUCAGAUUUCAAAUAUUGUAAUCAGUUAAAUAAAAAAAAUUCAAUUAAUAGGUUAAUUAGCUAAUAACAAUUAACUAUUAAAUGAAUUUAUGUUAGUUUCAACUGAAUAUUGGUCAAAGGUAUUAAAUUUAAUGGAAUAAUUAUCUUAAUUUGUGAAAAUUUUUCAUUAUCUAUUUUUUUAAUUUAUUAUUUAAAACUAUUAUUGGUUCAUGCAAAGUCCGUUGAUUACAAGAAUUUAGUUUGUCCUUUCAUAAUACAAAUUUUUUUAUUUCAGGUCGGAUUUUAUAUUAAUACUCUUAGUUAUAAUGUAUUCAUACCGGUGAAUUUUCUCUAUAUUAAGUAGUCAAAUAAAAAAAAAUUAUUACUUUACAAUCGGUGUAGUAAAAAAGAAGAUAUAACUAAAAUAAACUAUUUCUCAUUCUGACAAUAAAGAAAAAUAAAAUUUAAUUUAACUACAAUUUAUUCCAAAUAGAAAUAUUUAUUUAAUUGAAAUGAAUAAUUUUUUUAAACUAAACUCAAUUGAAUUUUACUAAAUUUUUAGUCUAGAUAGAAUUUAAUUAAUUUUGAAAUAUAAUAGAGGGUUUUUAUGAAAUAGAUUUAUUAAUUGACCCUUAAAUAAUUAAGAGGGGUAAAGUUGGAAUAUAAAUAUUAUUAACUUUAUUAUGGAUGGAGACUUGAUAGUAGGGUUAUUUUUUAAAGUUUCUUAAAUUUGAGGGGUAUACAUGAUAUUUCAAUUUUUAAAGGAGUAUUUAUAAAAUUAAAUAGCUUUAGAAGGGUAUAGAGAAAAUUUUCCCUUAUAUCAUAUACGCUGUUUGGAAUAAAUAUGGUUGAUUCAUAAUUAUAUGAAUAAAAGAGAUUCCAAAAAAUUCUACAACAUGCUUCCCUUUCUUAUUUUAUUGAAUCUGAUUCGUUCCUCAUUACCAAACAGAAUCAUAAUUUCUUCCAUAUAUAUUAAUUCUGAAAAGUUUUUCUAUUAAAAAAGGAGGAUAGGAUAGGCUUCUAGCGUAAUAAUCCUAUAUUUUUGUUCCUAAUUUUGUGGAGUGAUUAAUUUAAGAACUAAUUAUAACUUUAUCCUGUGACACGAUUGAGGGUUAAUUUUAAUUUAAAUUUGAAUAUCACAAUUAUAUGACAUGCUCUGUUUGGAACAACUAUGAUCGAUUCAUAAUUAUAUGACUAAAAGAGAUUCCAAAUUCUACAACAUGCUUCCCUUUCUUAUUUUAUUGAAUCUGAUUCGUUCCUCAUUACCAAACAGAAUCAUAAUUUCUUCCAUAUAUAUUAAUUCUGAAAAGUUUUUCUAUUAAAAAAGGAGGAUAGGAUAGGCUUCUAGCGUAAUAAUCCUAUAUUUUUGUUCCUAAUUUUGUGGAGUGAUUAAUUUAAGAACUAAUUAUAACUUUAUCCUGUGACACGAUUGAGGGUUAAUUUUAAUUUAAAUUUGAAUAUCACAAUUAUAUGACAUGCUCUGUUUGGAACAACUAUGAUCGAUUCAUAAUUAUAUGACUAAAAGAGAUUCCAAACAUUUUUUCCCAAAGUUUAUGACAAAGAAAUUCACAAAUAAUUGUGUUCUCUUCCUAACAAAGAACAUACUUUUAGCUAAAGAUUAAUCAAUAAUAUUUGUAAUUUAAGAGCACUACAGUGUCAUCUUCAAAAAAAUAUUAAAAAAAACUAAAAAAUAAUUAGAUUUUCUCUUCUUCUUUUUUUCUUUUUUUUUUGUUUUUGUUGUAGGGAAGUAUAUGGACCGUUUGGCAUGACAACUCAAUAAGUUAUUUAUAAAGUUAUGAUGGUAUAGGCAAUAAAUAGAAUUCAUUGCAACAAAUUAAUUGUAUGUUGGAAAUGAAUAAUGCAAUUUUAAUGAGCAAAAUAAUUAGCAUAUCCCAUAACAUAAAGAAAGCCUAUGACCUGAGCGUCAUGAGAUCAUAAUGCACAUAAUCUUUUAUUAAUUAUGCAUGUAUGUACACGCAACAAAUAAAUAAAAGAAAAAAAAAGAAAAAUUAGUAUAGUGUGAAGUUGUUUCUUUAUAAAUAACUUAUCAGCAUGCAUCUAUAUCAAGAUAGAUGCCAAGCAAUUUAAUUUGUAUACUUAUUGUAGUAUCCCUGAUUUUUUGGAUGCCCGUGGAUCUCAGCAUCUAAGGCUUGUCGACAAAUCUGGAGAGUAUCGGAGCAAGUUGGAGUCGUUUUGACGCGAAAUGGAUGCAAAACGGAUUCGACAUGAGGCGAGAGUGGAGUUCUGAUGCUGAAAUCCACAAAGUGCAGGAUUUCAGUGUUGAGUACCGGUACCAUAUAGGGGAGUACCGAUACCCCAGUGUAUUUUCAUAACAGAAUGCUCUCGGGUUGUGCCAAAUGAUGCUGAGUACCGGUACAGCAUCGGGCUGGUACCGGUACCCUGCGUGCGAGCUUACGGGCUGAGAGGCCGAGUACCGAUAACCAAAUCGGGUACCGGUACUCCAAUUGGAUUUUUGAGUAGGUGAGGGGUCUUUUGGUCAUUUGAGUUGUCGAUAACCCCAACCUUAUCCCCACCUCUUUAUAUAUGUGUAGAGAGACAGAGAAGAAGGUUUAGUAUGCUGCUCUCUCUCUCCCUCUAGUUCUUGGAUGUGCUCGUGGUUGAGAUCGUGGCUCGAGCUCGGGAGUUUUUUAACGUCGAUCCGGAGGGCCGUUCAAGUAUGCGUGCGUCGUGGUUGCGCCGUUGGAGACCAAGCGAGCGCAUGGUUUCCUCUUCUUCGACUUCUCGCCGUAGUUAGACGAGCUUUUCGAGGUGGGUUAAUGUUUACCGAAAUCGUCGGAAUACCUCCUAAGUUUUAGUAUCGUCGACAUGUAUCAUUGGUUUAUUUUUUUGCUAGUACUCGAAUUCAUAAAUUAGAGAUAAAAUCUGAAUUUGAAGUUAAGCUAGUAGUAUAGUUUUACAUAUUGGACUUGGAAUUGACUUAGGAGAAAACAUGUAGAUUCCACACUGUCACUUUCUGAUAAUUACCAGAUUUAGCUUUAGGAGCUGUGGUUCGUUUGUAUCGUCGUUGUUCGUAUGCGGUAGAUGCCCAGAUUAGUGUAGGAUGAGUUUACGCUCGUGCUGGGAUGCCGAGCUUAUUUUACAGUAGUGUGUAGACUGUUUCGGACUGUCAGGUGCCGUCGCGGUUGAUGGUGGACCCAAAUUUCUAUAUUUUUCAUUAGAUUAUGUCAAGGGCACAUAAACUUUGGUUGUUAGAUCAGCUAGACCCGUUUGCUUUGAUUAUAGCCUGUGAGAGCCUGAUUGAGCUCGGCAGAGACACGCUUGCAUACUUGGUUUAGUAGCACCCACGAGUGCCACUCCGGAGUCGAGCUUUGUGCGUUUGCAUUGAUGUUGUAGUGUCCAGGUUGAACUUGCUCUUCAUCAACAACCCAGCGUGGUGGUGGUUGGUGUAGUUUCGAUAGGCGGAACGGGUGCGUUCACAGUCCCUAGUGAGAUUGGGUCAGAGAGUGCAUUUCUAUAUCUACAGAAUAGUGGUUAACGAUAUUAUAGUGGCAUGUAGCUAUAGAGUUUUUCUAGCUUCCUUUACUAUUCUUGUGCAUAUUUUCUGUAAACUUAGUGGGUGAGCCGUUGAGGUACUGAGGACUACUCCUUUUUGUAAUAGUUCUCACACUCAGUUGUUGACCACUUUUUGCAGAGUCUUUGUCCGCGGCUGUUGCUGUUACUGAUUCUAAUCGUGGAAAUUAAGGGUGUUGCGAGCUAGAUCCUUUCCAGUCUUGUUGCAGUGCUAGAGGAGUACCUCCACAAGUAGUUUUGGGGCUUUUUGUACAUAUGGUUAUUGUCGGGGUACUUUCUGAAGCGAGUGGUGUAGUAGACUUUUUGUAUGUACAGUAACCCCUCGAGGUUUUUAUAUAUAUUCUAUUUUCAGUUUAGCAGCUCAUUACCUUGUGGUUGUAGCUUGAUUUGUUUACAGGUACAGCUAUCACUUCGUAUACAGAAAAAAUUUCUAUGUAUACGGCGGGUCUGUUGGCGUGUCCGGAGAAACAUGUAAUCCGGGGUGUGACACUUAUCUUGUGGCGUUUUUGCAUAUAAAAGUUUCGCAUAAAAAAUUCAUCGAUUUUGCAAUUUGUAAAAAUAAACCCUCUUUAGAUUUUGCUGAUUUGGCCUUGAUUUAUAAUAAACUAAAAUAUCCUUAUCUCUCUCUCUCUCUCUCUCUCUCUCUCUCUCUCUCUCGUUCGCGUUACUCUGCAUGGUUCAUCUCCGACCUCCUCUCUGUUGUACCUCUAUUUCUCCUCCUGCUUACUCUCUCUCCUCCUCCUUCUUCACUGCCCACACAUUGAUGCGCGCUUCUCUUUCUUACCUUGCCAACGUCCGUUGACGCCAGAUCGAAAAUGACACAAAAUGAGGAGGUGAGAUUGCAGCAGAAAGCAUGGCCAUACACGUUGACAAUGACAGCGACAAUGCUAGCUGCCACAAGAUUUAAAAACAACAGGCAAGAAGAGCACGUCGGGGCGGGUCGGGGGCUCACUAGAAGAAAAGAUAGUAUUAAUGGCAAAGAUAAAACAACAUGUGGCGAUAAUUUUCGUCACCGCUGUAGUCAUUAAGUAGCGAUAUUCGAUGGCAGAUUCACUUUUUUGUCAGUAGCAAGAGCCCAAUUAGCAUAGUUGACCUCACUUUGGGGUCCAAAUUGAUCCCAAGUGGGGUCCAAUAAAAAGUCUUAUUAGACAAAGAGUUAUAGCGGGUCCGGUGACCGGCUAUUUUUUUUCCUUAGCAGUUUUAAAAAGUUAAAAAAAGAUUUUAAUUAAAAAAAAAAAACUCUUGCUUCCUUGAACACCAGCUUGGAAACUUCAUUGUAGAUGUACGUCAAGAUAAAAGAUUUUAUAACUUGAGAGGAAUUGGUGAUAUUUCACAAAAGUUGGUUGAGACGAAAAAGCAUGUAGUGUAUUCACGAGUUUAUUUACUUUUGAAGUUGUCAUUAGUUCUACCAAUUGCUAGUUUUUUCUAUGAUGAACUUUAUAGAGAAUAAAUUAAGUAACUUUAUGUGUGAUCCAUGCUCAUAAUGAUUCUUUUGAUGGCUUAUAUAGAAAAAAAAUAUGCUUAACAGUGUUUCCAAUGAGGCUAUUAUGCAUUUUUUUUCGAAUAUGAAGUCGAUCUGAGGACAAUUAAUUUGUAAAGAAAUUACUUUAUUUAUAUAAUUUUAAUGACUAUUAUUUUUUUAGUUUUUUUUUUUUUUUUUCUUCCUUAUAUAUUAAUCGUAUGAGAAAAAAUUUCUAGAUCGCCCCCUGGCGAUAUUUUAUACAUUUGGUGGCAACUUUAGUCAACAGUAUACUAAUAUUGUUUGUCGUGGCGGCGCGUGGAUCUGCCACCGCGAUAUUUUAUACAUUUGGUGGCAACUUUAGUCACCACUAUACAAUAAUUGUUUGUCGUGCGGCGGCUGCUGCCCGAGGGCAAGAAGGAGGUGCAAUAGAGUGAAAAAUCUGCAGUAUAUGAAAGAAAAGAAGAAAAAUAAAAAUAUAUAUUUUCUUCUCCUAGGAAGGCUCAUGUUGUGCUAAUUGAUACAAAAAAAGCCCAAACAUAGAGAAAUAGAAAGAAGCAAACGAAAAUUGCACUAUUUCAGAUAUAAUUAGUAUCUAAAAUAUAUUUGAGACUAAGAUUGCACUAUAUAAAUAAAAAUUGCACUAUUUGAAUUUAAGUUCUACUGUUUGAGCUUAAGUUAUGCCAUUUAAAACUAUUUGAGACUAAAGAUGCAAUUUCUCAUACAGUGCAACUUAAACUCAAACAGUGUGUCAACCCCCAAGACCUGCCUAAAAACGCUCUUAGGUGCGUGCGACAGACCCGUUGAACAUGCAAGGUUUUUCUCGCCCGCAUGACAGAAUAGCAUUACACCAGCCUGCACAUCUUACAAGAAUAAAUAUGAAAAAGCAUUAGAGCAUUUAAAUUCUAAUUCAUGCUUAUACAAUAUACAACUCCCUAAAGAUUACAACCAAUCAUGCUUUCAAAAUUAAUGUAUGCUUAUGAUGAAUGAUUAUUGAUGAAUGAUUAUUUGAUGCUUAUAUUAGAAAAAAAAUGUUUAACAGAUGUUUCCAAUUCGGGUAUUAUGCAUUUUUUUCAGAAUAUAGAAGAUGCAUCUAUGACAAUUGUAAUAGAAAUGAUACUUUAUUAAAUUAAUAUUAUGACUAAUUCAUUUUUUUAUCUUUUUCUUCCUUGUACAUUAAUCCUAUGAGAAAAAAUUUCUAGAUCUGACAUGGUGAUAUUUAUAUUUGUGCAACUUUAGUCACCACUAUCAAAUAAUUAUUUUGUCGUGCUGGCGGCUUGUUGAGAUCCCUAGUGUUCAGCUGUGGAGCUUGCCGACAGCUCUGGAGAGUGUCGGACAAGUCCGAAUCACUGUUGGCGUCAAAUUAGACGUAAACGGACUCUGUGCGACGCUAGAGGGCAGCUUAUAGCGAAGAAAUCUGCAAAACUGCAGAUUUUCUCUGCUUGUUACCGUACAACCAGGUGGCUGUACCGCGUACAACCAUCGCGCAGAGGAUUAGCAGCUCUCGGGUUGGCUCUUGUACCGGUACAAGAGCCGUGUCCGCGUACAAGGGGGUAGUAGAGGGUUAAUUUAGUAAUUCUCUCCCUCGUUUGUAUCACCACUCCACCUACCUCUUUAUAUAUGCGUAGUAAGAGAGCUUAGAGAGGGAUUCUAUUGCUGUCCUUCUUCCCUCUCCCUCUCUAGCUUGAGUUGACCGUGGAGUAGUUCGGUUUGGAGCUCGGAUUCGACCCGACGUCGCGCCGCGAAGCGUUCGGCGGAUACGGUUGGGAUCCUACGCUGGCGAGAAAGCUCAGCGAGGGUGCGUUUUCGCCCGUUCUCGACGCUCCGUGUCGCUGACGAUUAGCCGUUGGGGGUGAGUGUUUCAGUUGCGUUUGCUUCAAGUUUUUGACAUUUCGAGCUAGGUGUGUUUGCUGAUUCCAUCGUCGGACCAGUUAGUAAUUUCAGCUCGUUCUCGACGUAGGAGAUCAGAUUGCGACGGGACUUUGUUCGUUGGAUUCGGGACUUCGAGAGGAAUCCACGAAGCCCUUACUUGCUGGAUUUUGGUGAAGGUUAGCUUGGUCGAAUCUCUGUUGUACCUCACUGCUGCAUUUCUGGGCUGAAUGGUGACUUGUGUGUGUUAGCGGGUAGAGUUAGCUCGAUUUUUGGACUCGGCGGAUUCCAGGUAUCCAGCAGGUCGCUCUACACCAGUGGAAGUCUUCGCUGCCAGGGAUUAGCUUUUUGGGUUGGGUUACAUCGGUUUUACUCCUAAGUUCACAUUCGUCGAAUGUAUAGUUUCGUUUUGGAUAAUACUAUUCUAGCUCACAAUUCAUGGAUUAAAUAGUAGAUUUCAUAUCUGAAUUUGGGCAUGUGGUAAUAAUUAAUAGGUUAUACAUGUUGGACUUGAAUGAAUAUUAGGAGAAACCUGCGAUUUGGACCUGUCACUUGAUUAAACUGUCUGAUUUAGCUCUUAGGAGCCGUUAUUUAAUUGUACUGUUGCGUAUCUUCGAGACAGUACUCCAGGUAGUUUAGAGUAUAUCUACACUCAUGCUGUUUCGCCGAGGGAUUUUACAGGGUCGUUAGGCUGUUCCGGACUGUAGGUGCCGUUGAGAGUUGACUGGACCCGUAUCGCCUUUUUGGCGUCUGAUUGUGCGGGGCACGUUACUUGUUGGGUUGUUAAGACCAGUAGAGUCGAUUUCUUUGCUUUAGCUUUUCAGAGCCUGUUGAGCUCGAAGAGAUACGCUGCAUACUCGGUUGGGUACGCCACGCAGUGCCACUCCGGAGUCAGGUUUUGUGCUUUCGCGUUUGGUGUCGCUCAUGCCAGUUGGACUUGCUCUCACGGAUCAGUUAGUGUGGAUAGAGCUGAUUAGUCGAAUGGGGCAGGGACGGGUGUAUUCACAGUCCGGGGACGGGCUAUCUACAGUCCCGAGUUGAUUGGUCAGAGUUGAUAAGACUACAGUUGGUGUUAGUGUAGGAUUGAUAGUUUAGUGAUCGUAGCCGAUAUAGCAGUUUAUUUCCUGCUUUUCUGACUACUCUUGCUAUCCCUUCUGCUAGACUCAGCGUGGGUGGAGCGAUUUGUUUUGGGCGUCCCACUGAGGACUAUUGUUUUUACAGUAUGUUCCGACGCCCAGUUGUUACCUAUGUUUUUGCAGAGCCACAGGUUCCGGCUGCUGCGCCGUCCGCGGACCAGGAUCGAGGCAAGGGCGUCACGAGUUAGAGCCCUACCCGUCGUGCUGAGCUAGAGGUGCCCCUACUGCAGGUAGAUGUUUUGUUUCGAGUUUAUGUACAUAGUUGACUUAACUCGCCAGUGCGAGUAGCUCUGUAUUUUGGUUUUGGACUAUGUAUAUGAAACUCAGUUUGUUUAGCUUCUGUUUUCUCUAGCAGCUCUCUACUACUGUUCGUAGUAGUGUUUGAUUCACAGGUACAGCUGUUGCUUCGUAUACAGAAAAAUUUCUUUGUAUACGGCGGAUUUGUCGGCGUGCCCGGGGAACGAGACAACCGGGGCGUGACACGGCUGCUGCAGAGGGCAAGAAAGGAGGUGUAGUAGUGAAAAAUCUGCAAUAUAUGGAAGAAAAAGAAGAAAAAAUAAAAAAAAUAUAUUUCUUCUCCUGGAAAAGCCAUUAUGUGUCGUAAUUGAUACAGAAAAAGCCAAAAAAUAGAGAAAAUAGAAGAAGAAAACGAAAUUGCACUGUUUCAGAUUAAAUUAUAGUAUUUAAAAUAAUUUGAGACUAAGUUGCACCAUAUAAAUAAAAAUUGCACUAUUUGAAUUUAAGUUUCACUGUUUGAAACUUAAAUUCAAAUACUUUCACUGUUUCAAAUACUUAAAUUCAAAAAUUGCACUAUAUACUUUCACUGUUUGAAACUUAAGUUACACAAUUUAAAACUAUUUGAGACUAAAGUGCAAUUUCUCAUACAGUGCAACUUAAACUCAAACAGUGUGUCACACCCCAAGACCUGCCCUAAAAGCCCUUCUUAGGUGCGUGCGACAGACCCGUUGAACAUGCAAGGUUUUCCUCGCCCGCAUGAAGCAGUAGCAUACACCAGCCUGCACAUCUUACAAGAAUAAAUAUGAAAAAGCAUUAGAGCAUUUUAAAUUCUAAUUUCAUGCUUAUACAAUAUCAACUCUCCUAAGAUUACAACCACAUCUGCUCAAAAUAAUAUAUGCUUGCCGCGAUCACGCGCUUCACCUGCGAUACAUGACUUUAUAAAAAGUAAUAAUAAUAAUAGGCUGUUUUCUAUACCAAAAAGAUAUUUAAAUCUUACAUCCAUCCAUCCAUCCAUCUGAUAUUUUUUAAUAUUAAAUAAAAAAUUAAUAAUGUUAGCUCGUGAGAAAAUAAUAAUCGUGCGAUGAAUAAGAUAUAAAAGUUUUAUUUAUAUGUAGUGAUAGCAUAUAAUUACUCUCGUUCGAUCUGUGCUCGAUGUGCAGGCUGGGACGUUUUUAUUGAUAGAUUUUAUAGGUAUGUAAAAUAAGGCAGAAAUUAAAUACAUACCAAAAUCCAGAAUCAAAAUAAAAUAAGAUAACUCACAGAGCGCCGUCGAGAAGAAAUUCCUGAUCAAUCUGUGGAAGUGUGAAGUCCGGCUAUGAUUUGGAAGUCACGAACCGAACUUGGGUGAUUUGGUUUCUCCUCCUAUCUCAGGCACUCUACCGUAUGGUGUGGAAUCGAUGAUAAUUCUUCACCAGAAUGCGUAUGAAAAAGUGGCAGGACCAAUACACCUUUAUAUAGAGUCCAGAUCGACUUCCCAUCAAAGCCUGAUUAGGAUUCUAUUUAAAUUUAAAAUAGAUGGGAUAGGGAUAAAAAUAUACCAUAUCAAGUAGUUCUAUAUAUGUUAGAAUUGACCUUUAUCUAUAGCAAAUCCUAAUUUAAAUAUGAUUAAUUGGGCACAAUAUAUGGAAAUCCUAACAAUCUCCCACUUGGCUCAUAUUAAUUAUAUUCCAUGAACGGAUUUUCUAUACUCCAAUCUUUAUUGCGCAUUAUUGGAAACUUUAUGAUCAAAUACUUUAGAACUCACUUGAUCUUUAGCUCAAACUAAAAGACUAUAAUGAUAGAAACUAUGGCGAUCCACCUCUUCAUAACAAAAUUUUUCUUCCAUAAUUACCGUGUCAUCUUCACCUCUUAGCCGAGUACUUUAUAUGGCACAACUUUAUGAAUGAACUUAAAGUGUAUGUUCAUUUGUUAAUAGACAAAACUUUAUGUCCAUUAAAUGGUCCAACACAGCUGCAUUAAACUUUAUUGAAAAAAAAAUAGAUGUUACAAAUUUAUACAUCAAAAGAACUAAUCAAAUCCAUAACUUUAACACGAUCUGUAUAUGACUCAGGUGCCGGCCCCUUGGUCAUUGGGUUUGCAAUCAUAAACUUGGUACUUAUGUAUUCAAUUGUAACAUAACCUUCAUCUAUCUUCUCUCUCACAACAAGAUAUUUGGUGUCCAAAUAUUUACACCCUGCUAUAAUCUUGUUGUUAUUGGCAAAAGAAACAGCAGCUGAACUUUCACAGAAAAUUUUUAUUGGAUAAACACCGGAGUCCACAAUUCUUAAGUCUGUGAUAAAAUUCCUAAGCCAAAUAGCCUGUAAUGUGGUUUCGUAACAUGCAAUAUGAUCCAAAGUUCCUUUCAAAUACCCUUUUAGCAGCCUUCCAAAUGCUCAAUGCUUGGAUUACUUUAAUACCUGCCAAGUAAUCCAACGGCAAAAGUAAUAUCCGGACGUGUGCACGUCUGUGCAUACAUAAGACUACGAACUGCAGAGGCAUAGGGUAUGCUUUUCAUCUGUUCAAUUAGUUCUUGGGACACUGAAAAUCAUUAAGCUUAUUCCCUUUCUGGACAGGAGCAACACUGGGCUUACAAUUAUGCAUUUCAAAAUUUUCCAAAACUUUCUUUAUGUAGGCGUUUUGAGAUAGACCGAGUAACCUUUUAUGUCUAUCCCUUUUGAUUUCAAUACCAAGAACAUAUGAGGCAUCGCCUAAAUCUUUCAUUUCAAAAUUUUGGAAAAGAAAUUCUUUAAUAUUAUGCAAUAGCCCAAGAUUAUUACUGACAAGCAAAAUAUAAUCAACAUAAAGGAUUAAGAAAAUUAUUUUAUCCCCACUAACCUUUAGAUAAAUACAUUGAUCAAUAAUAUUUUCCUUAAAACCAAAGGUCAAAAUAGUUUGUUUAAAUUUUAAAUACCAUUAUCGGUAGGCCUGCUUUAAUCCAUAUAUUGAUUUCUUUAAUUUGCAUACCAAGUGUUCCUUUUCCUUUUGCCAGAAUCUUUCAGGUUGAUUCAUAUACACCUCUUCAUAGAGAUCCGUAUUUAAAAAAGCAGUUUUGACAUCCAUCUGAUGUAGCUCGAGAUCAAAAUGAGCAACCAGAGCCAUAAUAAUACGGAAAAAUUUCUUUCUAGAUAGUGGAGAGAAAGUCUCUUUAUAGUCAAUGACUUCUUUCUGAGUAAAUCAUUUUGCCACAAGACGGGCCUUAUAUCUCUCUAUGUUACCUUUGGAGUCCCAUUUGAUUUUAUAAACCCACUUGCAUCCUACGGGUUUAACUCCUAUAGGUAACUCAACAAGAUCCCAUACCUUAUUGUGGUUCAUGGAUUCAAUCUCAUCCUUCAUGGCAUUGUAUCAUUCCAUAGAAUUAUUACUAUUUAUGGCUUCGGAAAAAUUAAGAGGAUCAUUUAAACUCUGGUCAUUCUCAUAAAGAUAGACAAUAUAAUCACUGGAUAUAGCCGGUCUUCUCUGUCUUGAGGAUCUUCUUAAAUCUAUCUGAUUAUCCACAUGUACAUCUUGAUGUGGAUUAUUCACUUGUACAUCUUGAUGUAAAUUAUCAACUUGUACAUCUUGAUGUGAAUUAUCAAUGAUAGGUUCACAAUAAUUUUGUGAUUCCAGGACGAUUUGUUGUUUUACUGGAAUAGGAAUCAUCAAAUCAUGAGGGAUAAUAGUGGGUCUGUCAAGUACAGAAACCGAAUGCUCUUUAAUUUCUUCAAAUUCAAUGAACCGAGGUUCAAAGCUCCCACUAAUUGCACCAUUCUCAAUAAACCGUGCUCUUUUAGUUUCUGCAAUCUUUAUAGGAAGUGAUGGACAGUAAAAUUUAUACCCUUUGGACCUUUCUGAAUAACCAAUAAAAUAUCCUGAUAUGGUUCGAGGGUCCAAUUUCUUUAUUUGUGGAUCAUAUAAUUUGGCCUCAGCUUAACAACCCCAUGUAUGAAAAUCUCUUAAACUGGGUUUCCUACCUGUCCAAAGCUCAAAAGGAAUCUUAGUGACAGCCUUAGUAGGGACCCGAUUAAGAAUAUACAGGGCUGUUUUGAGUGCCUCACUCCACAAUGAUAUCGAAAGGGUAGAAUUACUGAUUAUACUCCUGAGCAUAUCAAUUAAUGUGCGGUUCCUUCUUUCAGCAACACUAUUCUGAUCAGGUGUUCCUGGUAUGGUAUACUGUGGAACAAUUCCGUACUGCUCAAGAAACUUAGCAAAAGGCCUAGGGAUUUGGCCUUUAUCUGUUUGUCUACCAAAAUAUUCACCACCCCUGUCUGAGCUGACUACUUUUAUCCUUUUCUCGAGUUGAUUCUCUACUUCAGCCUUAUAUGCCUUAAAGGCAUCUAAAGCUUCAGAUUUUUCUUUAAGCAAGUAGAGAUAGCCAUAUCGAGAGUAGUCAUCAGUAAAUGUGAUAAAAUAUUUAUGGCCAGUAAUUGAUAGAGGAAGAGGUCCGCAUAUAUCGGUAUGAAUCAACUCUAAUGGUCCAUCACAUCUUUUAGCACCUUUAGAAGAGAUUUUGGUCUGCUUUCCCUUUAUGCAGUCCACACACAUUCCAAAGUCAGAGAAGGCCAAAUCAUCUAAAAUGUCUUCUUUAAUUAAUCUUUGGAUUCUCUAUUUCGAGAUGUGUCCUAACCUCUUAUGCCAUAACAUGGAUGACCUUUCAUUAUUAAUGCCACGUUUUGAUCCAACAUUUUCGUGCAUGGUAAGAAGGAUUUCACUAUAUGAAACAUCUAAAAAUACUUUAUAUAGAUUGUUUUUCAAAACACCAGAGCCAACUAUCUGAGAUUUAUAGAAUAAAGAAAACUUUAUUAUUAAAACUAAAACUAUAUCCCAAUCUAACAAGUUUCAAAAUAGAAAUUCAAUUCUUAGAAAAAUUUGGAACAUAAAAUGUAUCAACUAAAUCCAAAAUGUGACCAGUGGAAAGAACUAAUCUAAAUGUUCCUACAAAUUCUACUUUAGUUGGAUUUCCUUCAACUGUAUAGAUAGUCGCUUCACCUUUACUGGGUUUUAUGCGAUUCUGAAAUCCCUACACGGAAUUCGCCACGUGGCAUAUGGCACCAGAGUCAAUUCACCAAGUAUUAGACAUAACAGAAACUAAAUGCAACUCAUACAUCAAAACCAGAAACUUACCCUUCUUCUGGAGCCAUUUCUGAUACUUUUGGUAGUUCUUCUUCAUAUGACCCUUUUCUUUACAAAAGAAGUAAUUGGGAGUCCAAUUACUUGAUUGGCCUUGUGAACCAGAUGGAACUUUCUUGUUUUUUUUCUUUUUGAGUCAUUCUUGCCCUUUCCAUUCUUAGUACGCUUUAUUUGUCUCUUCUGAGAAACAAAGUUAACUGCAUUUCGUUUCUCUUGCAAUAAUAUGCCUUUUUCUUAUACACACAUGGUUUACAAUUCAUUAAUUGACCAGAGAUCUGAAAUAUUCGUAUUCAGAUGGCAAAAAGUUCAAAAUAAAGUGCACUAAGAAUGAAUCAGAGAUGGUUACACCAAGUGUAGUGAGCUGCGCUGCAAUAUCUCGCAUUUCCAUAAUAUGCUCGUGAAUCGAACCAUUUUCAGAGUACUUUAUGAAAGACAGUUUAUUCAUUAGGGUGCUCGCCAAGACUUUACUAGAGCUUACAAACUGUUGCUCCACAACACUUAGGAAAUCGCGGGCUGUCUCACACUCUGGAAUUGAAUUCCGAAUAUUUUACCGACACGCGCUUUCAUUAGUAUUAAACUAAGCUGAUUAGAGCGCUCCCACUUUUCUAAAAGUGCUGUUUGAGUUGGCAUACCUUUAUCUGUACGAGGAGCAGGGUUAUCCUCUCUCAAAGCCAAAACAAGAUCCAUACACCCUAAUGUAAGCAUGACCUGUUCUUUCCACUCCGAAUAAUUAGAACCAUUAAGCAUAGAAACAGAAUCACCAAUAGGAACAAAAGAUGAAGUCAUAACUGAAAUAAAAUGCAUGUUUUAUCAAUAAAAUACCACAUCAAAAAUUACCAUACCAAAAUUAAAAAAAUAUACUUUAUAUGACAUCACAGCCUCUCAUUUGGGAGCAGAGUUAUGAGCAUAAGUAUUUUUCGUUCCUUAUGCAUAUACUUUAUAUAACAUCACAACCCCUCCUUUGGGAGCAGAGUUAUGAGCAUAAAUAUGCAAUCAUUUCUUAUUCAUAUACUUUAUAUGACAUCACAACCCCUCUUUUGGGAGUAGAGUUAUGAGCAUAAAUAUGCAAUCUCUUUAUCAAAAAUUAAUUUAAGCUUUCUGUAGGUCGUGAUAAUUUCAAAUUUUCUAUAUGAAGAAAUUGUCAGCUUUGGCCAGACAAAUUUCUCCAAACGAGUUAUAAGAAGAUUACCAUCCUGCACCACCCAUAUACCUUCAUGUCUAGACCUCCUUUGGGAGCAGACUAAAUAUAAUAUUAUGGUGCAAUUUCUGCAUGCACAUCUUUAAAGCAAUUAAUUUAUCUUUUCUUCCGGUCGGGGCCGUUUUGGUUUGCACCCGAACAGUUGAAGCAAUAAAUUAAUCUGACUUAGUUCAGCAUGAUUAACAUGAAAAUUAUCCGAAAGCACUACUUUAAAGUAAAUUAAAUUAUUAUUUCUUUUAAUUAGGGCCGCUUUGGCUUGCACCUAACUAAUCGAAAUAAUAAAUUAAUUCAACUUAGCGCCAAAUAUUAAAUAAUCGAAAAUAAUUAUGAUUAUUUAAUUUUCAUGUUCAUUCGGUCAAAAUAAGAAUAUAGAUGCGAUAAUUUAAAAUAUAAUAUCACAAUCAAAUUUAAACUUUAUAUAUUCUAAUUUGACCACAAAUAUAAGAUAAAUAAAUUUAUGAUAAAUUAAAUAUUGUAUGCAAAAUUAAAUCCUUAUGUGAACGGAUUCUCUAUGUUCACGAUACUUUAACAAACAUGAGGAUCAAAUUUUGAUAUAUACAAAUUUCAUUGAAUAUAUUAAAGAGGUUAUAUAACCACAGAGUCAAACGGAUCCUUAAUUAAUUAAUUUGCAAAAGGAGCCUUGCAAUUAAUUAAUAAUGCUUGAGGUCCCAUGCGGAACCAAAGAAAAUUUUGAAUUAGUCGGACUCGACCAUCUCCAAAAUAAUUCACCACAUCUCAGGUUCAGAAACAAGAACCGGACUCUAAGUUUAAUGCAACAUUAAAAUAAAGCAUAUAAAAUUAGAGCCAAUCUAUAAUUGGCUAAUAUUAGUUUAAAAGAAGCCAACUAAUUAAUAAAUCUUGACCACUAUACAUGUACGAAGCCGCGCGGUCAACAUAUGUAAUAUUAACCGAAUUUCCAAAGGGUUAACGUUCAUGUCACCGCCGCAGUCGAGCAUGCCUCGUGUGAUCAAGAAGGCUAUUCAAACUUAAUUAGCCCACAAAUUAAGAUCGCGUAAUGUGUAAUAAUUUAUAAAAUUUCAAAAAAUAAAUCACUACGUAAAUCCUUACGUACACAAAUAAUUAUACUAUUAUGUGAUCUUAAUUUGGAUCAAGAACCGUAAAACCUUUUAUUAUGAAAACUCAAAAUUAAUCAUAAUUUGAUCCAAUUACAUAAUACAUACAAUAUUUAAUUUAGCAAUCUUGUCUCUGAUACCAAUUGAUAGAUUUUAUAGGUAUGUAAAAUAAGACAGAAAUUAAAUACAUACCAAAUCCAGGAUCAAAAUAAAAUAAGAUAACUCACAGAGCGCCGUCGAGAAGAAAUUCCUGAUCAAUUUGUGGAAGCGUGAAGUCCGGCUAUGAUCUGGAAGUCACGAACCGAAUUUGGGUGAUUUGGUUUCUCCUCCUAUCUCAGGCACUCUAUCGUAUGGUGUCGAACCGAUGGUAAUUCUUCACCAGAAUGCGUAUGAGAAGGUGGCCGGACCAAUACCCCUUUAUAUAGAGUCUAGAUCGACUUCCCAUCAUAGUCUGAUUAGGAUUCUAUUUAAAUUUAAAAUAGAUGAGAUAUGGAUAAAAAUAUACCAUAUUAAAUAGUUCUAUAUCUGUUAGGAUUGACCUUUAUCUAUAACAAAUCUUAAUUUAAAUAUAAUUAAUUGAGCCACAAUAUAUGAAAAUCCUAACAUUUAUCCCAUGCAUAAUUCAUCAUGGCCCACUGGCCAUUAAUUGCAGAUGGGAAAAGUCAGGCGGAAAGUAAGUUUCUUGGUAGCAGCUGCAGUGUCCAAAUCACUUGCUCCCAGUUAUUUGUUUAUUUAGUGCAUUCUCAUCUCUCACUCCUCAAUCCCCAAAACAUCUACGGCAAGAGCUUCUUAAUUUGGUUGUAGUAUUUUCUCUAGUUAAAUUUGAGAUUAUUUUGGAGCAACUCCCUCUUCAAUCUCCUCGUUGGAUCUGUGGUUAGUUGUGCUUCUUCUUCUUCUUAUAUUCUUUUUAAUUAACUUUUAUUUUCUUUGCUAUCAACUAGUUGAUUCUGCAAAAGGGUACAAAGAGUAUAGUAUAUGUCUUUGUUGAUUAAUAUAUUGUUUGGAUUCACUUGAUCUUUGGUAACAAAAUAACAAUAGAUAAUAGUUAAGGUAGAAUCAUUUGGCCUUAUAUAUACUUUCACUUUAUUGUUGAUGAUUGAGCACCUAAAUCGAUGAUCAAUACCAUGAAAGAUGAUUAAAGAUAGGGUAAAUUGCAUUGUUACCCCCUGAACUUUUGGCGAAGUUUCACUUUACCCUUCAAACUUCUAAAAUGGACAUCUAACCCCCUAAACUCUAAUAUUUCGUUCAUGUUAUCCCUUCCGUCAGUUUUCUGUCAAGCUCCGUUAACCAGAAACUGAGGGAAGAGGUAAAACGAAUGAAAUAUUAGAGUUUAGGGUGUUAGAUGUCUAUUUUAGGAGACUGGGGGUUAAGUGAAACUCGCCAAAAGUUCAGGGGGUAACAAUACAAUUUACCCAAAUUUUUACUAUAAAUUAUUUUUAUAUUUUUAUAUUAAAAAUUUCUAAUUGGCUGAAAUGAAGUACAAAAAUUUUAUUUAAGUGUAUUUUAUAGAACAAUACUUCUAAAGAUAAAAGGGACAAACGAGUACUACAGAAAAUUAACUGAGAAUUAAAAUUUCUAUAUCCGAGUGAGGACACCUAUUGUAAAUCAACCAUAUUAGCGAGUACGUUGGGAUAGUAGAGUGUUUGAAUAUCGUAGGUAGUUAGUAUCGCUCUUUUUUUAUCUUUAAGCCACUCUAAUUCAUUUCUUUCACUUUUAUUUUAUUACAAUAAAAUGUAGGAUAAAUUAUGGUAUGAUUUAUUUUAGGAUAAAAAAUAUAUAUAAAUUCAAAAUCAAGCACGAUCACUAACUUGAGGAUUAGUAGUCAAUCCAUAAGUAACAUAUUAUAAUAAAAUAAUUUAUAGUCAAGAGUCCCUACGGAGUAAAUUGCACUACUACUUCCUAAACUUUUGGCGAGUUUCACUUAACCCCCCAAACUCCUAAAAUAGACAUCUAACACCCUAAACUCUAAUAUUUCAUUCGUUUUACCCCUUUCGUCAGUUUCCGGUUAACGGAGCUUGACGGAAAACUGACGAAAUGGGUAAAAUGAAUGAAAUAUUAGAGUUUAGGGGGUUAAAUGUCCAUUUUAGGAGUUCGAGGGGUAAAGUGAAACUUUGCCAAAAGUUCAGGAGGUAACAAUGCAAUUUACCCAUUAAAGAUACAUAAACUUUAUAGAAAAAGA